GUCAUCGUCACUCUGCAACUGUUCAAUCCUCACGUCAGGGAUGUUGGCAAUCUUGGGCCAAUCAAGGCCAGCAUUCUCUUGGCAUCGCUCCUCCAACACAGGGUGACACCCGGCGAUGCGUAGAACAUGCAGUGAAGUAGGCAGAUCUGGAAGAGACCGGAUGAGAUUAGCAUUCAGUACUUCUAAACACUCGAGGGAGCAUAGUUUUGUCAUGCUCUGGGGGAGGGACUGAAGGGAGACUGCAUUCCCUAUGCGUAAAACUUUGAGGGCGGCGCAAUUUUGCAGUAGCCAUUCCUCAGGUAAGCUGGUGAGUCCCGAAGCACGAGAGAUAGUCAACGAGCUGACGGAGGAGAGACUUCUCAAUGGCUUCAUGAGCAGGAGCGCGUGGUGGUCAAUGAAUAGGCUGCCAUUCUUCAAAAAGCUGUUCGCUGCAUUCUUUUUUUGGCCGACAUCGUUCGGGAACGGAGGCUGCGGCAGCAGGGCAGCUUCAAUUAGCUUGUCACACCCUCUAAUUUUUAAAUAACGGAGGGAUAUGAGAGCUUGUAUUCCACCAAAUGAUGACAGCUCUUUGCAGUUCUUUAUCUUUAAAAUAAAAAGCAUCGUCAACUGUGCACACACUUGUGCUGGGGGAAGGGAUGUUAUGCUUGCGCAAUCGACUAAUACCAAAGAGAAAAGAGAGGUUAAAUUUGGUAAUGACUGGAGCAAUGGCACCUCAAGGUCACCACAUGACCCAAUAGCGAGUCCAUUGAGUAUAGAGGGCAGUUGGAUGUCCGAGAUCCCUUGUUUUGUCAACUUCGGGCAGUUAUGUAUACGCAGCAAUUUGAGGGUGUCGAAUUUCUGAAAAAACUCUGUUGGAACAUAUUCGAGCUUUUCACAUUGUUCGAUGACUAACCUUUCAAGACCCUGAGAAUGUUCUUGCCGCCGGAAGAAAGAAAAGACGUAAAAGAUAUUUAAGUCCGGGCAAUCAUAGCCGUGCAAAUACGAAUUGGUGUUUUAAUAUAUGGGUAAACUUCAAAUUGUCCCCCGUGUGAUUAAACUCAUUUUCACCUCAUCCACCUUGCGGUUCAGAAAGUUUAUUUUGCCCUCCAGUGGCUUAAUUUUUAUUUCAUCAAAAAAUUCUAUAUGAAAUAGCAUGGCAAAUUAAAAAUGUUAAAAGAAAAUCAUAGGAUAGCAAAGUAAAAAAUGAACUAAACCAAAGAAGGCAAAGUGUAAUUUUUUGAACCACGGGAUGACAAAGUGAAAAUAGGCUAAGCCACUGGGGGGAGGGGGCAAAGUGAUACUUUUUGAACUACAGGAGGGCAAGUGAAAAUGAGCUAAACCUCGGGAGAAAUUUGAAGUUUAUAAAAUAAAGCACUUACAUUGUUGUCUGCGUAAUCCUGAUUUAUUGUUGGAAGAGCAGUCAAUCCAACAUUUGAAAUUUCCAAUUGUCUUAGACUAUAAGGCAGAGUAGGAAUUUCCCUCAAAUUAUGGCAGUCAAAAAUACUCAUAGAAUGAAGUUGAGGAAACAUGCACCUGUCAUCUACUCCAAUCCACUCCUCCAAGUUAGGCAUGUCCGCAAAGAAUAAAUCCUUCAAUGAUGGAAAGGCACAUCCACGGCUGCUUCUGAUGAAUGAACAAUCUAUUUGCUUUAUUGCAUGCAGUCUCGACAACCAAAGAUAUUGGAGCGAAGAAAACUGCCCGAGAGGCGGGAGGUGCUUCCAUCCUUUACAAUCAAUCAGUUCGAUGGAUGUCAAGUUGACAAGAGACAGAAUUGUCAUCCAACAUGGAGAUUUAGCACCUUGGUAUUGUACAAUGCACAUUUUCUUGAGACUGAUAUGCGGGCAGAGGUUAUCGAGGAGCUGUUCAUCUGCCUCUGCACAAUUGUAGCGGUUUGCGGACCAUUGCAAUGACAAUGAUUUAAGAUAUUUUUUCUCGUUUAAAUUGGCCUCAAUUGCUUCUUUAGAACUCACAUUUUCAAGUUUCAUAAUACACAGGUGACGUAGGUCCCUGAGGUUCUUUAGCUCAGUGAUUUUGUAACCACUUUCCUCUCGGACAAUAAAAUUUUGUAAAUUGUGGAUGAAAGGUAAUUUGCUAAUAUAAGGAAUUUUUUGUAUCACACGAUCAAGAACAUCUAAUGAACGCAAAUUGACCAAGUUGGUCAAGCCAUUAUAUUCAAUACUUUCAGUCACAACUUCCCCUAUUGAAAGAGAUAGGUAGCGAAGGUGUAUCAAGCUACUAACUGCAUCAAGCAGUUUAUAAGAGUCAAAAUUCACAUCUAAGAUCAAUAAGCGUAACUUUUUAAACCCUUUUAUAACCUCGAUAAAUUCAAGUGCAUGAUCUGCAUUAUGCUUAUUAUCCUCUUUAACAGAAAUGACUAGAGUGCGCACAUUCUUAAGAUUGGAGAUCUCUCUGAUGGAAAGAAAAUUGACCAUUUCAACAGAUAAAUGUCGAACUGUCUGUGGAAUAGUAAUUCCUGAAACAUCACCUCCUACUCUGAUGCAUUCUCCUAGAGAAACUGAUUGUGUUAGGUCAUGCAGCAGAUCGUGCAUAAAAUACUUUUUAGUAAUUUCCACCCUAUUAUCAUGGGUUUUACAGGUAAAGAAUGAUUUUCUUGUCAGAAGAUUUAAAUACUCCUUUCCGAUAUCCUCUGCCCUUUCCCUGCCACAAAUAGAUUGCGGAAUCAGACCUGAACCAAUCCACAUAUUGACUAACUUUUUCCUCUUAAAUAUAUGAUCCUGCGAAAAUAAACUACAAUAUCUAAAGCAGAGUUGUAAGUUUGUGGGUAAGUGAUCGUAGCUUAAUCUCAAAAUUGUCAUGAUAUCGUCCUUUCCUUGUUGUAAUUUCAUGAUGUCUUCUUCCAAGAUUUUCUUCCACUGUUCAUAGUCUAUACGGGAAUUCAGUAUUCCUCCCAUGAUCUUUAUAACCAAUGGGCUUCCUCCAAGUUUCUUCACUAUUUGCUCACCGAUCAGCUGCAGGUUUUUAUAAUCACCAGGGUUCACAUCGAGGAAUGCAUGCUUAUUGAAAAGCGACAUACAGUCGCUCUCCUCCAACUCAUUUAGAUUUAAUGAUUCCCAUUUGCAUUUCAUCACUUUUGCCGCCAUAUCCGCAACUGAGCCCAUCCGAGUUGUCAACAGGAUCUUGCUUCCUCUCUGUCCGAAUUUCAAAGGAGCAACCAAUUUCUCCCACUCCGCCAUUUUAUCAUCGUUCCAAACAUCAUCCAGUAUGAGCAAAAACCUCUUCGACGUNGCAACAUCACAAUUUAGACACCACAGGAGAGAAAAGACAUGACACCACACGAAAGUUCUUUGGUUUCAUCUGAGACACAGCGCAAGGAAAGAGGCGAGGACAACACCAAGUUUGAAGUUAUUCACGGUGAAGUAGCGCCGUAGGCCCCGGAGACCCCCAAAUUAUUGGACGACCAGGAGCUUUGUAAAGAGGACGUUACUUCGAUAGAAGGCUUUAGUGAGCGAGUGGGAAGUCGAUUGAGUGGAGGGUUCGCCUUUCUGAAAGAAGGAUAGAUUGCAGAUGCCCGGCGGAUGAACCCUCCCUUUCCUUCUGAAGACAAGUCUUGAGGAAAGGGAGUUGCUCUGAACGUGACCGUCGACCCAUUAUACACCCCUGAAGUUAAAAUGGUUUUUAGUUCUCCUCUCCUUUCCUUCAUGAACCUCGAGGUCUCGGUGUCGAUACAAGACACUGGAGUAGAGAUUGUACCGCCAGUAUCUGAAUGGGUAGAGGUUAGUCUACAAGUGAACCAGCUUAUACGUUGCGUCUGGAUCGGAACGAUUUGAACUGUCCAAGGAAUAAAGUUGCCUGACCCUGGUUUCGAUAGGAGAUUCAUUCCAGUUUCGGGAGGGAGCCUAGUGAAGGCUAGUGUGUGGAUAGCAAAAUAGAUGGCCCGAGGUAGGCGGCUGGGCCUUCAAAUCUAAGCUCGCGCAGACCGAAAGAUUCCUCCUGGAGUGGUGAUCGCAGGGCGAAACCACCUUACUUCAGUGGGGAUUCUGUAGCCGACAGGAGUGGGAAUGCCGGUUCGAGUCUGUGACAUCUUAGUCUUAAUUCCUUACCACGUUCUGCUUGAAGAUGUCGUAGAGUAGGUGGUUCGCCGUGGACGUCCUUCUUUAGGUUUCGUAGCUGGAUGACCUUCUUGUAAGACAAGAUGGAGUUCUGUAGAACCUGUCUGCCCUGCGGAAUUUUUUGGUCGAGGUCUUUUAAGAAGUCCUGCUCCUUUAAAAUACCUUUAGAUCAAGAUUUGUUAAGACCGAUUUGCUUCCGCUGUUAUUGUGAUUCAAGAAAGUGCGCUAACGGUUGCCCUCUUUUGCGUGGUUACGCUAGCUUCAAUAACUCCUACUUUAUCCUGCCAGAUAAGUGUUGCUUGUUGUUUUUUCCCUGGUGAAGAAAGAAUGGAAGUUCGUAGAAAAACCAGCGCGGCUCCUGGGUACACGUAGAGUGCCUCUAACCUCACCAGAUAUGGUGAGGUUAUCUAAUGAGUUGGGCCUUUGGGAAUGAACGGGCAAGAGAGAGCUACUUCAGUUCUUGCGUUGAAAAGUUGAUCCCUCGCUGUUUCGGGGCCCCGGUCUACCGAAAGGGGAUAAGAAGAAGGUUUGAAAAACCCUCUGGCAGUUCCUCCUGUAAAAGUUGCACAAAGACCUGGAGGUCCUUCUAUUUGAAAAGAGACCGGGCUAACUGAUGAGAAUGCAAACGGAGUAGGGAUUUUUUCUUCCGCGUUCUUUCCACUUGCUAUAAGCGGGUUAUUCAGAGUAAUUACCGUAAGUCUUUUAGUAGAGAUUCCAUAACCGGUUGGCUGAGACAUCACGAGAUGGCUUAUAGUAUAGGGGUAGCGUUAGUCGGAAGUAGUUUUUAGCUGUUGAACGUCUGAGGAAACAGUGACGAUCACUCGAUUAGUUAACCACGUGGUUUAGCCCGUGGCUUCCCCAUUCGUAAUUCCAUCUGAAGCUUUUUCGAAAGCUAUUGUAGUUUACCUGGAAGGAGGUUUUCUAGGACGUCACCGAGCCGAAGUCGCUAUUUACCACCCGGACCUAUCUUGUUACGUAAACGUUGCGGUUCCACCGGUAGGAGCAGUUACUGUUGGGCUGUUUUACCGAGUUUUGAUUUUUUCCGGAAUCUGUCCCACUAGGAGAUAGAGGAAUGGAAAAGUAGGAGCACCGACUGACAGACUGGUCUGAUUGGCUUCGACGAUCCCGAUUGUUGAACGACGUGCCUUAGCCAGGUCCACUUCUGACAGCUUGUUGCGAGGAUGUUAUACGCCUGCUGUGUUAGAAAAAGACGCUUGGCGCUUUUGCGAUGUACGCUUUGGAGGAUAAGCAAACCUUUUAGAAACUUACCCGGAGACCAAAUGCUUAGUUGUUCGUUUUCUGCCUUAAUAAGAUGUAACCACGGCUGGAUUGGUUCGCCCUGUCUGAUCGAUUGUAGAAUCCAACAGUUCAUCCGUCAGGCGAAAAAGCAAUGAACCCCGACGGGGAGGUGUUGUUCGGGGAGGUAUUCCUUCUAACCUGUUAAUAGUAGUUAGCGUAUCCGAGCGCUUAACUGCCUACCUUUCGAUUUAACGAUAGCGUUCCCCCAUCUGAAUAAGAAUAGUUGAGCCAUGAUAGCUUGAAUGGCGAGAAGAUAGACAGUUAGAAGUUCCGCGGAGUAACCCACAAUAGGUCUUAACUUCGGGAUGCAUCUCGGAAGAAGACCUUUCCUACGAGGUUUUAGAGACCGCCUCGUACGGAACAAUUGACCUUUUGCUAGACAUUUUCGUUCGUACUUCCCCCCGACCCCCAAUUUCUAUACCUUCGUUACUUGUAGCGAGAGAACUGGUUUAUCACCACCGCGAAAAAGUGACUCGGUGUGAACGGAACCACAUUGGAGGAGUCUAAAGAUAUGAUGUUCUCCGCCUCUGGUAACGUGCUCCCUUAGCGGAAACGAGGUAUGAGCGUCACCACCUUUCCACACCAAGCCACAGCGCUACACAAAUUUACACCGUAAAGGAUACUAUAACCACUACCUUCGUUGCAGUCUGAGACCUGCCUGUAGACCUACCUCCUUUGUGGCGAGUCGUGACACAAAGGUCCUUAAAAAAGAAGAUAGUCCUUGUUCCUCCGCGCGUAAAGGGUUACGACCUUGGAGGUACCUACCUCUACCGCGAUGUAGACAUCCCCAAAACACCGAAGUCGGAGGAGACUUUUAUCUUCUGUUUAGCCCGACGAUUUCCUAGACGAUGAGGUGAUGUAGGGUUCGUCACCUGGUCUGUGCGGAUUUACCUCUACCUGGAGUGUAGUUUUCAAGUGACAGUUGAGAGAGAUAUUUAAGUAGUGAAUACGUCCGGCUAGACUGGGUUAGUUAGUCGUCGAAACCUUUGAUUUCUAGGGGCAAUUUUAGUUUUAAAAGUAGACCGACGAUGAGGCGUUCUCCGACGAGUGCCGGCUGUCUAACUAUUUGGCACCCUAGGUUCGACUUGGUACAACGCAGAAGACACGAUAAAGGAAUCUUACAACGCUGGUGGAUAAAUCGCUAACGCAGAAGCGGGCAAAAGAAGAAGAUGCAGACCGACUCUAUGGCUCGUCACAAAGCUCACACCUGCAAGCUCUAGCGACCUUGAGAGAUAGUGAAUAGGGACUGCGGUCACAUUCUCGAUUUCCUAAUUGGUACGAACGCCGAUGAACCACCCAACAGACCUAGCUCGCUUUGUCGAAACAGAAGAGAAGCUAGGAAGGCUUGCGACAAUCUCGGAACUUAUCUCGGAGUUGGGACAGGUUGAGAACCUAGAGUGAUGACAUUGGGAAGUUGGAUCCAAAAAAGACAGAAGCGAAGGAGGGGGGACUGGAUAGGGGAGAGAAAACGAAACAGACAAAUGGAGGAAAAUACAUGGAGGAGAGACAGGAAAGAAUUUCCUUCGGAUUCGACGAAGGUAGAACAUGCGAAUCAAGUAAAGAGAAUACUUACUUCGUUCAUCGCACGAUGAAUAAAGAGUUUUUUUUUUAUCGAUUUGUGUGGUCAACUAAGCGGUUUAUUCUGAACUUAGUUUACAGAGUUUUCAGUUUUAAUUAAUUCGUUAUUCACAAUAAUUAAAUAAACGCAAUCCUUAGUAUCUGCGCACUCUUACAUCAAGUAAUCUACUUAUUUUACACGUUAUACAUUAUUAAUAAAGUAAAGUAAAUACUACUAUUCCAACAAUCUUAUAUAUUAAACGGAAAAAAAAUUUCAUUUUCAUAUAUUUCUCUUGGCAUGCAUGUUCCAUGUUGGUUCUUUAACACAUGUAUUUUUUAUUUUACCUGAACAAGAUAUACUAAGAGCUAGAGGAACACCACAUGUCGUUUUACGUGUUACCUGUAUCAUGCACUAAAUAAAAAAAAAAAUAAUAAUAAGAGUACACCUGAGAGAUUUUAUUUUACCAAAAACUUGUUAAGGUUAGGGUACCUAAGCUUAUAGAAAACUACUAGAGUUCACAAGAACACUAUUUUCCUUUUCCUGCAAGAUUGAAAUUUUUAUAGGGGUCCAAGGGAACCAUGUCAAUUAUUGAACGGGUAAUUUAUCUCCCUUUUUUUUUCAUUGUUUAUUUUAUCUAUAAUAUUUUUACAAGGGUAAGUCUAUGAACGUGGUACAAAAGCAUAAAAGUAAGAUUUCAACGUUUUUUAAAAUCGAGUAUUUCAUGUUAAUCAAUAUUCAAUUGAUAAUUGCGUUCUAUAAUCACCUAAUUUAUUUUCUCUUAAUAACCAAGGGCAUUUAUUAUACUUACACUAGACUUUGAUUUUGAAUCAGAAAUAAAUCUUCUUCAGUUCAAUAAAAGAAUGUUGUAAACCGUCGUUUUUCAAUAUAAAGAAGUCUAAGUAAAAGUUACACAACUGAGCUUAUAAUUAAAGAUAGGUGGCUAAGAAAAGUCUUAAAAAUCCUUCAAAGUAUACCAAUUAUUUAUAUUUUUAUAGCACUUAUUAAUCUUUUUUAAACAACACUCACUACGUAUUUUUCUCACCUCAUAAAGUAAAUAGCGCAUUUUAAUUCUUGUAUAGCUUACCAGAGUUUAUAUGUAUCUUCAUCAAAGAAUUAAAGAGUUAAUUAAUUAGAACUACGUACGACACAAGAAACAUUUUGGAAUUCGGUUGCUUCUUAGUAACGAGUACUAUAGUUCAAUAAUUGGUAAUUAUAUACUUACCAUAACUAGAGUACGUACAACCAAAUAAUAUUUCUAUUCUAUAUAUUAUCAGUGACUAAUUUGAACCCCAGGUUGAGGAUCGAUCGAUCUCUUACUAAAUAACGGAAGAAUAAGAAAAAAAAAAAAAAAGACAUUUCAACUCCAUCGUAACGGAUCUAAAUAGAUUAUGGAAAGAUAUUACUUGGAAAGUAUCGGUAUUAAUAUAUACGGAAACAAAAUUAGGUUUUCUAGAUAUAUUACCUUUACUUUAUUGUGAUUAAAACUAUAAAAACAAGUGCACGUACUGUUUUUACUCUAUAUGGAUGGUAUGUGUCUGCGUGUUUGUGAUCGAAAACUUAUCAGAAUUGCCACGAUUACAGUUUUAUUGUUUAUUAUUAUCGUUAGAAGAUUAACGAUCCUGGAUCACAUAUCUUUAUAUAAAAGUUUAUUGAUUUGAAAAUUGCAUCUGAGAAAUUUAUGGUGGCGUGUUUAUGCGGUCUAAUCCAAAACCAAAUUUUUAUAAAUAUUAGUUAUAUUUGACGACGCCACGUACUUCACGUACGUAUGUGAUCCUCAUCCGUUAUUUAAGGGGUUUCACUCCACAACCCGGUGGGUUUACCCGCACCCGGGUUUAUAGUAUACCCGAAUUAUAAAAAAAUUGCCCGGCUCUACUAAACCGGGUUGAGAUCUCCCGCCCAAACCUGAGCCGGGUUAGUAUCGGAUCGGGUUAUUUUGGGAGGAUCGAUCAGGUUAUCUGGCUGUAUGUUUGUGUCGGAAAACCAAAAAUAAAAAAAUAAAAAAAAUAAACCUCUUUUUUCCGUUUUUUUUUUUUCGACAAAUAAUUAGGGUGCGGUAAUCUGUGCACAAUGUCAAAUUAUCCACGGCAGGUACCUAAUACACCACCUGGUUCAGGUGUGUAGUUAAAGAAGAAAACGAGAGAUUCAGAGAUUACGUGGUUAAAAUAGAGCACUCCCCUUUAAUAUUUUUUUCUUUUCAACUGCAUCGGUUACCCAGAGAGUAUUUACAGGGGGCGAAGUUUGAUUUCCCACCGAUCAUUCCAUUUAAGUGGUUUCGGUUUUAUAGCUAGAGGUAUUACGUUAUAAAUGAGCGUUUUCUAGUUUUUUUUUUUUUUUCAUUUUUCUUUUCCGUGUUUGGCGUAGUGAACGUUUUCCUCUCUCUCUCUCCGGGUUUGGCGUAGUGAACGUUUUUCCUCUCUCUCUCUCUCUCUCUCUCUCUCUCUCUCUCUCCCCUUGGGAUUAGAGCUAAGAACCACCCCCUCCCUCCUCCUCCUCCUCCUUCUUCUACUGCACUUACUUUGUACAGGGGGUGGCGGAGAGAGAGGAGCGGAGGCAGCGGGAUCGCUAGCGCGAGAAGGUGCGGGGAGGGUGCGCCUGCUCGAGAGGGGGAGGCUAGGGAAGCGGAGGCGGAGGCUAGCGGCGCUUCUCCACCCCUAGGCCCACGAGGAGCCUUCGCUUGGGGUUGGCGUCGCAGCUCUAGGCGCUAGGCUAGCCCCGGCCCUGCUCCCGCUACAGCUUCCGCGCCCAGAUGCGGCUGCACUUGCACGAUGCGGGGUUCCUCAUGACCCUAAUGCUCAGCGAGUGGCAGGUCACCCCCAUACCCAAGCUCUUUGGAAUCCAGAACUAAACUGCUAAAACUCUUCGGGAUACUAAGCUCUUUGGGAUCAAGAACUAGGCAUGAAACAAAACAGGAAAGAGACCAAUACUAGCGCACUAACGACAAGAUACACCAGCCACUACUUAAGUUAUAACGUUUAGACCAAAGUAAGAGUCGUCCUGAACGAUAGAUAAGGCUACGAAAUAGAUCGUAAUCUAACAACAAUUAUUCAAUUUGUAUAAUAUAUUGAAGGUUAUUUAAAAGACAAAUACUUAAUACUCAACAGGGUGUAAGAGAUACGAUAACCGGAACGACCAACUUAAAUGCAACCGCAACAAGGAGUAACUAACGUGGUUUCAUAUCUAGGAGGUACUGGGAUCUUACUUUCCCCGUAAGAGAAUCAAGAACAAAACGCCUCCAUACAAAAAUCCACGAGAAAAAAAAGGACAACUCCGGAUAUUACGCAGAAGAUAUCUCUUAAAGAAGAACAGAAGAAUAAAAUUUUAGAUACUUUCAACCCUUGCUACGACUAAUAUAGUAAUAUCUUUAAAGGUAUCAGUGUUUAACAUCACAGAGACGACCCUAUUUUGAAGUCACUCUCGAAGGGUUGCUGUAGAGCAAUCCCUCGGAGGCUAGACGACGGUGCACAAUGAAAACGGUGGUAGGUUACCAAACAAUCCACAAAAAAUUAUGAUUUUAACUUUUUGUUAAAACUUUGGCAUCUCCUUUCUUAUACUGGGAACCUAUCUCUACUUUCACCGUGAACCGCUGCCUACCCCCGAGGUAUUACUCCGCAGUAAUCCCUCGAGGGAUUACUUCAAAAAAGGAGGGACAACCGUUCGUAACUACUCAGAAAACAACAACGUACAAACGAAGACCGAAGGGAUCUCGACUCUUAGUCAACUAACAGGUUAAUCCGCUGUAUUCCUGUACUUUCGGAAACAGUUUACGUCUUAAGUCAUCUAUCCUUGUUGCAAUUGUAAAUCCCCAAUCUAAAUGUAAAACAACUACGAUAAACAUAAUAAAUUAUAUAGUAACAACAAAUAAAAGAAAAGACGUAACAAUAAAAAAACUCUCUUUCCAUCGUACUAUGGACAAAGUAAGUACUUUAUUCACUUGAUUCGUUAUCUUUACUGCGUUGACCCGGAGUCUUUUUUUUUGCAAGGAUCUGAAGGACCACCAGGAGGGUUUCCGAUAAUUUAGACAAAUGUAAUUCGUUGCCGACUGGGUUUCGGUGAAAAGACGUAAUAUAAUCAGAUUGUAAUAUAUCUCAAUUUAGAGAUCAGUAAAAUCAGGUUCAAUUAUAGUACAAAGUAACAACAAGCACUCUAGUAGAGUGUACAAUGUAUUCAGUCUAUCAAAAUUUUAUAAACAUGCUCAAUGAAACCGUAGAUGUAAAAAAUGUAUUAAUGACGACACAGUGAAAAGGGAUAAAGAGAAUACAAAUCCAAGUCGAACGGAAAUAUGAACUAUAACUUACCCUUUUCCUGGGUGUUAUUAUAAGAAAAAAAAAAUGGUGAAACAGUUCAAUAGACUAUAGAAUACUUUCGGUGAUAUUAUCCUAUAAGAUCAGAGUUCCAACGAGUCAAAAAAAUGUCUCAUUCACUGUUGAAAAUGUUCACAAUAGCGAAUGGCCCUUUAUUACGAAAUCAGAAUAGUAUUCAAGUUCCGUAUUGUCCAUAGUAAAUCUUAAGUAACGUCACCAAGUACUUUUACAUCUUGAAAGAGUGACCGAAAUCCGUUUAUCAAUUCUAUCAAAGAAGAAAUGAUCCUUACUUGACGUCACGUUCGUGUCCAGAACCUGGGUGAUCCGAGGUCUUUAUUGACCCUUUUAAGAAAGAGGCUAACGACACGGAAAGGAGGAGAAGGGGAGAGAUACCAAUGUCUCACCGUUGCGUACCCGGGGCCCACUUGGUACCGUCAAGAUUCUUUUCUUGGUUAAAUCUCGUCUCCUUAUAAUAUAAGUAGAAUAUUUUACGAAGAUUUUCUUAUAAAACAAAGACAAUAGAACCGAAAAAUAGGAGGCUUCUAAAGACGAUGAUCCUACGUUCAGCAGUAAACUAGUUUGAACCGUUAGUUAAUCUUCUGCAACACCGAUUUGAUGUAAUAAAUAUACUACUAGUAAGCUUCAGUAACCGACCAUCAAAGUAUAUACUAGGAAAAAAAAAAAUGAAAAUAAAAGGUUAUCUCCAACCCCUAUAAUUCUACUUUCAUAAUGUUCUUAACUAAUAAAAUCUAGUAAGAUAGGUAUUAACAUAAGACAUAAUUAUAAAUACUAAGUUCCGAAAAACGUAAGUGGUCAAAAAGAGAAAGAAGUUAGUCACUUGUCCUACUGAUACUCCAACAGGCCUUUCAACCUUCUCCCUUCAUAUCACUCCAGAAACUUCCGUAUUUUCAUAGGUUAUUACUCGCAACGUAGUAAUUCUAGGAGUUCGGACAUUUCUUUUUCUUCCAUGACUUACUUACAUUUAGACCUGAUUUACCACAAAAUCGUAUAAAAUACAACAACAUAAAACCAUACUAGAAUAAACAUCUAAACUUCUUAAGACCAGUAAUGUGAAACCUAGACAAAACAGAUGUACGAGAAAAUUAUCUAUUUUUUAGAAAUAUUAGGUGAACGUCUAGUUCUCUCUCUAUUUUUAUGAAGUCUUGGAGACACCCCCAGGUUUGUAACACUUCGACGAACUGUAACACUCUCUAGUGGUAAGUUUUUGAGGAUCGAACUAGAAACUCAUACAAUUGUUGUGGCUAAAAUUUCAAGAUAUAGGCUGCAACUGUCUGAUACUGUAAGCCAUGAUGUAGAUGCUCGAAGAGUUCCAGAAAGGGCUGGAAAGAUAAAAACAACCUUUAACAUAACAGUUAACUUAUUGAGUACCCUUAUACUCAGCACACUUUACAAUAACUAUUAGAACCAAUAUUUGUACCUCGAUUUGAAAAGUACCUGCACCCUAUAACACAGGUGUAGUAGAAUAACAAACCUAACUGUUAAUGUUCAGUAAAAGGAUUUCUUUCGAUUCGUACUUAUAAUAAUCAUCAUGAUAUAAUGUACAUAUACUCUCAUAAACUUUCAAAGACUUUCUUGAAUUAUGUAAGUAGUAACGUCCGUGACCUAAUGACGGUGCGAGUUCCUUAUUACGUGGCUCUACAGUUCGGAGUGUUACAAUACUAUCUAGUGCUCGAGGCUUUUGAGGCGAACUAUCUAACCCCUGAACGACUUAAGAUGGUAGGUCCGUUCCUUAUAUUACAGGCACAACGAAGUUCCAAUCACACCCGACUACGAAAAGUAACGAAUACGUACGGUCAACGGACAAUUAUGAAUCCGUACGGGUUUAGAGACAUUAAAUAAAGUAAUUCUAAUCGUCUAACUUACUAAAGUCAUCAUGGAGAUAUUUAACACGUUAACGAAAAGAAGUUCGAUAUUACCACUCAAAAGCCAGUAUACUAACCAAACGUACUCUUGAAGAAUCGAACAAAGUAUGUUACCUAUAACGGAAAAGGAGAAGAAAGAGUUAAAAAAAAAGAAGGAAACCUCUAAAAACACCAGUAAGUUGUACUAAAGAGAACGAUACGUCUAUAAAAUUCCCUGGACUUGAAGAACAACUAAACGUUCUAAUACUGAUGAGGAACCUGUACACCUCGGACCCUACGUACAAACGACCGUACCAUACGUAAGAGAGAGAGCGACUUAAGGAUUCAAGUUGUUACAGUGUUACGAGGUAAACAACAUUUUAACGGACGAUAAAACAACAAUUGAUGACUAAAGGAACGGACAAUUUUUAAACCAAAAAUACGAAAAAACAGGAUCUAUAAAGCUUUUCUUGGAAAAAAGAUACCGGUGCUGUUGGUACUAGUCGAACAAUUUUAACGGUUCCAUUACAGAAAAAAAAUAAUAAUAAAAGACGAACCACGAAAGCCUAAAUACUUUACCGUAUUUAAUAAAAUCAUAACGACUAUCGACUAUCAACAUAUUUGACGAGUAAAUAAAACUCGGAAGAUCAAACUAAAGAACAAGCGUACGACUUCGUCUGGUUUGUCACGACUUGAUAUGGUCUAUAAACCAAUCGACUAUAAAAAUCAAUAAAGUAUAAAGAAAGAACAUCAAUGUAACCUGCAGGUAUCUGACACUAGGUUUAAAAUGAAACAUGGAUACGAACUUGAACAGAGCCUAUUACGGAGUUUCAAAUAAUCCACAAAGUCACAAUUGUUGGUAGAUACUUCAACCGUCUUCAGUUUACGUAGUAGUGUCAGUAAAUUUUAGAAUCAUAUCUACCGUAGAACGAAUCGAAAAUUAACACGAAUACAUCAACUUUUUCCCGGACGGAAUCGUGAACUUGUCCUUUUUAGGAAAUGCAAACUUACAACCCUACGAGGAAGGUGGUUAUCCGUGGUUGAUUUACGUCUGGUGAUACGGUGUACCAGAUUAAAAUCAAAGUUCGCUGACACUACUAUGUGAUCUGGAGAAAGUUUAGAAUCUUUACUUUCAACUAUCCUUCCAAAAGAACUUACCAAAUUACAAUUACCCUAUCUAGUCCCUAGUUUCAGCCAAAAGUUUAAGUGCCUGAAGACAUAAUAUAUGGGAAAUAUAGGCGACAAUAAAUUGGUUUUACCUCCAAUAAGAUCAAUAUUUGAACGUACAGGUUUGAACGAACUAAAAAUAAAAGACGAACGAUACAACAUAGUAAUCGACUAUUCUCGUUGAGAGUACUUCAACUAAAUAUACUCCAUUUGUUGGGAUUCCAAAACUAUGAUAACACUUCUACGAUAGGCUACACAUUGUUGUCAUGAUUAUUACAUAAUAAACUACUGAUAUAAAGAUCCACGACAUUUGGAAGUUUUUCGAAAGAACUUUGUUAGUUAACUCUUAGAAAUGAAUCGUGCUGAAACUAAGGACUAAGGGAAAAGAGUCCAUGACCCCUGUCUACUCGAUUUACGAAUAGAUUUAUUUAUAGCCAACCUCGAACUGGGCGUUGAACUUCGAGAACAACCUUCCAUGUACCGUACGACAAGCGGGAACAGAAUCCUGUUUAGUGAAACUUUCUAUUAAUUGUUAACCGAUCAAGAUCAAAGUAAAAAAAGAAUUAAAAAAAAAUUAGAAAAAAUACGACGUCUGUGUCGUCCUUUGGGACCAGAUUUAAACAGUUACGUCUGUUGGUUGUAGAGCAAAGGGGUCUCCAAGGGAUAAUCGUGUAACUAUUGUCAAAAACCACGUAGUUUAGACAAUCAGGAACAUAAACUUUAAGCAUCUGUAUUGGACACCUAUAUACCAAACGUCCGGUAACUAAAAGAACUAUUCGAAGAAGCCAUACUAGUGGUCCUAUCCGAAUGUCGAGCUCUUCGAUACCAUUGAUAUAAAAUAAAAAAAACAUGAAAAAGAGUAAGAAGAUUAUUUCGAUUCAUAAGUCAGAAAAAAAAAUCGACCAAUACUAAUGAACAACUGAUCAAUUUAAAACGUUAUGGUUAUGAUCGUCUAAAUGGACGUGUGAAAACAGAACCUAAAGAAUGAGUGAAAACGAACUAAAUAAAAUACUGGCAGAAACAAAAAGUUUAAAAAUAAACUCCUAUAUGCUAGAUAUAAAUAAGGACAUAAAGAAAAACGGGAAUCAUCACGAUUAAAUUACGUACGUCCGCGUGGGUAUAAAAGAAGUUCACCCUCGACGUCUCUUAUCGUCUCGAGCGUACGUCAUUAACCGUAAAUGAUCGACCCUAACCACAUUAAAUCAUCCGGCAUGAAUAACAACAGUGAACUAACCGCGGGGAGCUACACCCACCGAGAACAGGGAUGCGGGGCAUGUAUCGACGACCUUGGUAAUAGUCGGCUAAGAUAACGAACCACGUAAACUAUAGCAACACGUGGCAAACAUCAAAGAUACCCACUAAGACGUCAUUGACCUCGACGAAACACCUAAUGGAGUUGAGCGUGCAGAAAACUGGGUUCUGCACGGGAGUAUUAAAAGACAAACUACACAAAAACCAUAGUACACAGUGAACACAUACUAGAAGACGAUGAAAGACACUAUGUACCAAAAUUUAUCCACCAAAAUCAUGCGAUCGAUAGAGCGAGCUAGUUUUAAACUGUAAUUGUAAGUUUCAUAAAGAUACCAAUUACGCGGUCUAUACCGAUCCGAGUUCUCAGGCAUCUAAUAGACAGGACAUUCCUCAAUGGACAGAUCCAUCAUACCUUCCAGGGCAGGUUAAUUGUAGAGUCUUAAUCGACAACAGACAAUCGCAUGACUUAUUCGCGUGAGCGUUCUUUUACUUUUCUAAUAUUAUUAAUAAAUACGAGGUUCAUCCAUCGUCGCCCUACCAACCCAGGGGAUGAUCGAAUGCAGGCGUACACCCGUCUGAACGCAUAUAACCUCUCGGUCAUAAAAGCUGUUUAAAGUCGAAUUUCUCGACUGUAAAGCUGUUGUUUUGCGUCCAAGCGUCAUUAUACCUCAUUGUUAUUUCGUUUAGCUUUUAGUCGUCUGUCGGAUCCCUCAAGGCGGAGUGUCGGUGUUUCCUUCUCUCUCUCUCUCUCUCUCUGUAUUUUAUGGAGGGCGUGAUGGAGCUUUACUUGUUUGUGCGGAUUAGAGUGUUCUUUCGAAUUGUUGAUAUGUUUCCGACAAUUUUGACGUCAUAGUACUUUAUUUAUUUAUGUUGAGCUCCGUAGGAAUGAUCUACGACGCCUAAAUUGUUAACGCUGGUUGCUUUUUGUAUGGACGUUUGCCGUUCGUGCCCACUUCGAUUGGACGAUUUACCUUUUAUCCAGUACCCGGCCCGUCCCAGCACUUACUGUAUUUCCGUGACGAGAGACUAAGGAUUAUACGUCCCAAUCUCUGUCUUUAGGAAAGUGAGGACAUUAAAGGUUUAAAGGUGGUUCUGGCUUGAGAAGGUUCUCGGGUGUUUCUUUAGUUGUUAGUAGGAAAGUUUCAAAUGUUUAGGCGUCUAUUUGUUGUCAAGAUAUGGUUCUGUAGGCCAUUUAAUAGGAAUAGAGUGUUUUGUUUUUUUUCCUUUAUCAAUAAAGCUGAGAUUAGGUAGAGUUUAACUUUGUUCUUCUUUGUCGAUCUACUCCAGGUUUUUCAUGGACCUAUUAGUACCGGAAGUCAAACCAUAUCUUGACCGUGAGCAUUGUCUAAUUAAUCAAUUUGUUUCCAGUUUCUUUUUCUUUGAGGUUAUAUAAUUUUUUAUUUUAUUUUACCGGUCUUUUUAAAUCUUCCCGUCCUAACUCUAGUUUUGGAAGCCCCAAAACAAGAAAGAGGUGCAAGGAAAGUACCCUGUGAAACCAGGAGACGGGAGACCGAGAGAAGGGUAGAGGGAGAGGGCCGAGAAGGAGGUGCAUAGGACAUUUCACCAUUCUCGAACUCGUUGCUAAAAAGGAAGUUGUUGGUUUCGCCAUCUUCUCACCAAGUGGAAAAGAGUAGUAUAUAACCCGUUUGCACCCGAGCGUCUUAAUUUUUCAAUCACUAAAGUGAACAAAGUGUUGUGCAUAAAUGAAACACCCUAGAUUAUGGAAGUCACCGAAACGUAAAGGAGUUAAGGGCUCAAGGUUUUGAGCGUAGAAACGGAUUAGUGGUAUUUACAACAGAGUGUAGAAGAGAACAAACGGUACGAUGGUACCCUUACCAGUCUAUAGUCAGAUAUGGUCACUCUGUUACUGGCAUGGGUCCUACGUUCAUUUUCAUGUCAAGUGACCCGUUUAAAGGAAAGACUCUACAUAUUACUGUUUUUUAAUUGGGAACCCAUUUUAAUAAUACCUUGAAGAUUAGUUAGUCUAUUUCAAGCUCGAGUUCUCUUGUCCUAUAUCUAUGGACCUCUAGUUCGAAGUUAUUAGGUCCGUAAUUGGAGAUUCGAAAGAAAAUGUACCUCUCUUGUUAUAUCUCUCUCUCCGUGACGUUAAUUAGUGACAUGAACUUUUGCUUAAAUACUAUUAACUCCUUGACGAAAAGAAGAAUUGUCAAGUUGUGUCAGUUUGACAGUUAUAUUAUCGAACACGAGAGGUAGAGAGAAUUACGGAGGGUAGUAGAAGUUUAAGUGUGGUAAUCUUAUUAAAGGAUUUGGUUACUUCCUAUACUAUCUCGACACCAAGGUCCUUCGAACAAUACGAGGUGAAGGAAGAAAAACGUAAGAGCUCCAGAUUCCUAGAUAUACGUUCUCGGUCAUUUAUGUAACGUCCUACAUCAGAAGACGUCAUGUUCAAUAUGAGGAAAUUCUGGUAUUAUAAGUGGUCGUGUCGUUUAUACGAAGCUUAACUUUAAUGUCAAAUGGUUGAUUUUGAUAAACAUGAUUUAAGGUCGUUUUUGUUUUCUAAACGGAAAAUUUGCUAAUCUUAACCAUCGGUCCUAAUCGUUGUAGAUUUUUAAUUUGUAGACUAUAUAAGGAAUCGUUUAUAUUGACCAGAUGACACCUCUUUUCUCGUUAUUACCACAUACGACCUGGUUUAACAUGAGUAUUUAGUACACAAUAACAGUGACCACUAAUUUCCUGUCCGUGUCCCAGUUACUUUCAGGGAAAGUACUAAAAUCAUGAAGGCUUUUAUGAUUUCACCUAACCGUUUGUUUGUUUCUGAAGUAAUCAACCGUUCGUUUAAUUUUUCUUUUGCCACUAACCGUAUUUUAAACAUGACGUAUUAUUCUGAGUUAGUUCAAAAUUCAUAUAUCCACCCUACGUGUUGAGGAUCUUUCCUGAGGUUAUAAGUAUCCUGGUUUUUCGGUCAUAAUAAUACGAUAAUAUCACACAUACGUUAUAACAGUGGAAAACUCGAAUGGAAAGUCACGUAAGUUGUUUGAGUAGGGUGUCAGAACCACUACCCUACCAGGAAGGAAAGAACAGUGCUGGUUUACAGAGUUGUAUGGUUGGUGGUUACAGUACGUAUAUUGUCGCUCCAAGUUUGUCGGUUAUGGACGUGUUCUUCCCUUUUUCCUUUUUUUCCCCCCUUUUUCUUUUUCUUUUCUUCCUCUCCCAAAUCCUUGUGAAGUUCCUAUCUUUCUAUCGUUUUCUUCCCGGUCAAUUCAAGUUGAUGUAAUAACGAUGAUUUUGUGACAAACGGUUUAAGUCUUGGAUAACGGCGUUUUGUUCUAUAAAUUUAGAGGAAUUCUAGUACGAGACAUGAUAUUAUAAAGAAAUGCUAUAUUUUAAUCUCCUCUAUGUACGAUCCUCAACAUCCGAGGCUAUACGCUAUAAUUUUUUCUAUAGUCACUCUCAUUUAGUUGUUUUAGUGAACGGGGACUUCACUCAAUUGAUUUUUUGUUUCCUUAAUAUCGAAUGUAUUUAACCUCUACCUUUUUCGUGUAUCGUAUGUAUAAUUUUUACCUAAAUUACAGUUUCAAGGCUUCGUUCUUGUUUAAUUCGUGAUGUUGAGUUCUUUUAAUAAGGAGAAACAUCGAUCUUUUUAUGCAACUUUACAACUAAGGUGAUCUUAAUUUUCGUUAGUAAUUUUAACUAGUUUGUUAACAUCUUCCAAUAUUUUCUUUCUCCUAGUAAAAUGGACGAUCCGUUGUUCGCUCGAGAUGAUCUAGCUGUAAGUGUUCGUCUUUGAAGUGCAGGUUGAACUAUGGUCACGUACACAAAGUGGACACUUAAUGUCGUAGUUAAUGUUCAACACGUUGUCUUGAUGUUAGGAUAUCCACAAUCGGUUUUAAAAGAAAUCUGAACUGGAUUACAUCUUAGUUUAUUCUCCAAUAUUGUUUUACGGUGAGUUUUAACUAUCUCUUGAACCGGGAACCAAACCAUGCUAAAUAAAGAGUAUACAAUUUUUACUAGUAGGUUUGGUGAAUCAAACAGAGAAUUUUAAAAUGUACGUAUUGUAUGUUACAUACGUAUAAAACUUUGGUAUGUGCAGGUUUUUAAUACAAUUUCUAUAGUUUCAACUAAACCUUUAUAGAGAACAAAGAAAGACUAUUUUGUUGUUUAAACGUCCUCUGUCCGCAAACAUAGUACUUCAAGGGAUCUUUCUUGAUCGGGCCUUUAGGUCAAAGUCAGGUGCAAACGAGAAUUAUAGAUCUUCAUUACAGAAGGCAUGUAAUCCUCUACUUUCUGAGUCUUGAGUUUUGAAGUCAGAAAAUCUUGUACUUCGUUAUUUAAAGUUGAAGUUGUUUUUUUUGUACCCAAGUCCUCUCCUAUAUCUAAAUAAACGAGAUUUCCUCAUUCAACAUGUUUGGUCGUCACAAGACACAAAAUAUUAGUGUACUCAAAAACGUGGUGAGCGUAACAUUUGGCUCGUCCUCGGAAGGAGAGGUGAUCAAGGGUCAGGUCAAUAUCAUGGGUCUUCUUCUGCGCUAACUCGACUUGUCCUAUUUGGUCUAAGUAAACUUUAUUCUAUUUGUACAUACACCAGGAGUCUUAGGUAUAAGCCCUGUAGUUACGUAAACGUAAAUCCUGAGGAUCAACGUUGUCGGUGGUGAGAAGGUGUCUAUACGUCGAGUUCUAGAAACAUUUAUAGACUUACCUCUAAUAGUAAAGAAAGUGGUUGAAAGAGCACUUAUAGAUAUGAGGGAUUUAGGUAGGAUCAAACGGGCUCUUUUAGUCUUUAAGGUAACACUCUUACGCAAUCGAAGAGUACUUUUGAUACGCUGUCGAGUCCUUACAAUAGGCGAUGUAUUUGUUAUGGUUUAUUUAGUGCGGGACUUUGGUUCACAUUCUCAAGUCUUCACAGCAUAUGUCUGGAGAGGAGUCGAAGUUUUGUUAGUCCUUCUACUAGGUACCUAAGCUAUACUCCCGGUAUUAUCCGUCGUGCAUAACGGCUCAUUUCGAGCAAAAGUUCGAAUAGUUUUAUCGAGCUCGGGCACCGCUGAAAGAAGACGUAAUAUUAUAGUAGUUAACAUUUAGAUAUGGUGAAAUCGGUGAGCUGUUGUAAUGAAAGAGAUCGUUAUCGUUACCUACUUAUCGAGCAUAUUUAUUGACUUGACCCAGGUCCUACGAAAACGUGGUAGGAAGAGAAUCUUUUGUCUAUCGAUAGUAUCACCCGAGAAGCGACUCUUAGACUAUUUUAGACGUUGAAUUACGUUUACUCUUACACUCUAUGGAGCAUCAGUAACGACACUCGUUACGUCUUCACAAUUUCCAUUCCGUUUUCUGUUACGAGAGUACUCGUUUUGUUACAGAAGCUUUGAUUAAUAUGGCAGAAUAGUUACAGACGUUUUAUACUUCUUAUAGUUAUACAGGUGAUAAAUCCGCGCUAGAAAUACGACGCUAAGGGGAUUAGAAAAAGGUGAUUAGAUUUAUAUAAUUCACUCUAUAAACCGUCUACAGGUAGACUGCUAUUGUUUAUUACCAUGACUUUUCCUUUGUAGUAACUGCUUCAUAUUAAUUUUACGGGGAGGGGACGCAUUAGGAGUGUUCGAGUGGUUAGUGGAAGAUGUUAUUCAUUGAGGGAAGUUUAGGUUACGUGGUGAUAUUACAUACUAUUUCUCUUCGUCGUGUUAUAUUGAUAGGUUUUAGAGAUCGUUUACGGAUCGUGUCUAUCUAAUUUUUGUUGACUCCUUUGUAGUCGAGACAAUCUUCGUAGUUCUUUUGCACGUCGCAUCCCAAAACUACCAAGGGCUUCUAUUCUUAGGAGUCAAAGGAGAGAGGGUUUAAUCUCAUAAGAUCGCGCGGGUUUCAUUGUUGUUGUUAUCUAUUUAGGCGCCGUAUUAAGAUUAUUUCAGAGCGUUUUGGGAUUGUUAAGGUUAAGGUUUAACUAUCUAGAGUCAUGCUAGCGAGAGCUACGUUAUUGGUUGGCUUCGUUUAGUUUGAAAUCUUUUUCCUAGAUAGUGGAGUAUUCGCCGCUCCUAAGCCUCCUUAGCAGCGCUACGCCGCCGCGCUAGGCUCCUCCUCCUUCGGCGCCGCCGCUGCAGCCCCACGCAGAGGAAGCGAUCAGAGGCUUUGCUCUGGAACUAGAGCCGCCGCCUCGAGCAGAGGCGGUGCGGCUCGUGGAGCAUCCGCGAGGAGGAGCGCUUGAGGAGUAGGAGGAGGAGCGGCGGCGGCGGCGGCGGCGGCGGCGACCACCGCCUCGAGUCUCCGAAGAAUGGGAGCGGCGCCUGUACCUCCGUCCCCUAGCUUCGUUAGCGAACACCCUUCUCCUCCACUACCUCCGCAACCUCGAGAGCGCUAGCCUCGCGGUAAAAAGAGAAUGCCAUCUCUUUUCUACCUUGGGGUGCAACACCCUCUGCUUUUCCUUCCUCUCUCUAUGUACUACUCCAUCUCGAGGUAAAACACAAAGCCUCUUCUCCUCUUGCAGAUGUUACUAACACAUUAAAAAAUUUUAAACUAAAAUGAUGAAUUUAAAAAUUAAUAACUUAAAUAGAAACGUAUAAAUUAAUGAUAUAAAAUAUACUGAUAUUAAAAUUAUUUAUUAAUUAAUUAAUAAAAUUUAAAAUGUAUUUUCUCGGUGAUUUGUUGAAUUUAUAUUGUUUAAUUCUCCAGUUCGUAUUAUAAUUUUUAAAAUUUUAUAACUUAUCAACUUAGUUUUAUUAAAUAUCAAGCGUAUUGAAAACAUAUAAAAUAAAAAAUUACUGACAAACAUAGUUACUUUCAACCUGUUGGUUUAAAAUAUUUAUACAUGUACAUCCUAAGUUAUUGAUAGUAGAUCUUUAGGAAGGUUAUUGUUGGUGAUGUGAUGGCUGACAGUGAUCUCGUUCACCGUUUCCCAAACCACCAACCAUGGACUCUGGGUUCAAACUUAGGAUCAACUAAGUGUAAAGAUGGAUUCAAAUAAAGAUUUAUUUUGUUUGCUUCGCUCAUCGCACGAUGGAUAGAGCUUAGCAGCAGCGUUUAGGCCGCGAACAUUCCAACUGAAAAUGUUAAACAUCGGGAAACAACGACUAACACACACAGAAAGCCACACGGGCACAAAAACAUGAGCUAGACUUCUACGCUAGUACUUCCACGCUAGACUUCCGCGCGGAGAAGCUUGCAGAGCUCCUCCGUUUCGCCAUCAGAAAGCUUGACCCCACAGAGGAGGCUCUUGGCCUUGACCUUGGAGCAGGUCCACUUGCGGUCUCCGUCACCGAGAAUGCGUGCCUUCCUACGCAUUGCCCUGCCGAGCACGGGCUCCUUCGUCUGGAAUUGCAGGCGAGCGCUGGAGCGUGGAGGUUCCGCCCGGGAAGAGAUGCAAGCAGAAAGGUCACCAAGGGAGGGAGAGAACGUCGAAAGCCCCGUGGCUCUGGAGGAUGAGGUGGACUGGGGGAGUGCUUGGAGAGGUAGACCGCUGUCGUGGGGCCUGUGCGAGGAUGGGCACGCGCCUGGUCCGUACUCGGUCUCCUUCGUCAGAGAGGGGAGACGAGCACUGGAGCGUGGAAGCUUCCUCCAGGCUGUGAUGCCAGCAGAAGGGUCCCCAAGAGGGGGAGCGGUCUCAGUAAACUCGGUGGCUUCGACGAAGGGGGAGAUUGGAAAAGUCGCGUGGGGAGGAAGGCCACUGUCGUCGGAGCCUGGAGAAGGAGGGCUCGAGUCUGGCCCGAGAGACUGGGCGGAGACGAGUGGAGGGAGGCCUCCGACAUCAGUCCAGGGGCACGAGUCAGACCCGCGGCUCACUUGGAGGCAAAGGCAGGGGGGACCGGGUUGCGAGAUGAACAAGCUCAUAGGCGCAAGCUUGCGGGGGGGGGCCCAGACUCCCGUCAGCAUCAAACGGAGAGAGAGAGAGAUCGAUCCCCGAACUGGAGGUGCGGUCGAGGGGCCCAGCUGGACAGCAGCUCGGCCCAACUGGACAGCAGCUCGAAUAGGGUCCAAAAGGCGUGAGCCCAGAGAGAAAGAGAUCCGAAAUCCAACUUGAGGGAGUGGGCCCGAAACUGGCAGAGCCCGGCCCAGGAACUCGGAAAGCUACGGUCCACGUGAGGGAGGAUGGAAAAGAUGAAGGCUUGGCAGCAGCUGGCUCCAGUCCGUGGUAGGUGGGGGUAGAAAUCGAGGAGGAUGAGGAGAUCCCCACAUAAAUGCUCCAGCACAGAGAUAAACCGUUGGGAGAAGCACAGAGGGCCAGCUUUCCCAAAGAUGUCUGUAGCACCCGAGAAAAGGACGGGGAAUUACCUGAAGCAGAAAAGACAGGCGCCGCGCUAGCCAUCAAUGUAGGCUGCUGCGAGAGGAAGGAGCCGUCUGACAGAAAGGUACUUGGAUCGUCCAAUGCAGGUGGUAGCACCAGGGUGGAAGGUCUGUCAGGGAGGAGAUUUGAAUUCGAACGACAAUCCGUCCGCCGCCCGUUCCCGCCGGCGAGAUGAAGUCUCGCACGACCGCCGCCGGCCGCCGAGGGAGGAAGCUCGGAGAGCAGCGUCUUGCUCCCGCUAGCUUCCACUCCGACCGACUUGGUGCACUCAUCCGGCGAAGCACAACGGGCCGCAGCCCCUCCCGAUGGGUGCAUCCCAAGAUGAAGUGGGGGUGGUGGAGAGGGAGCGCCUUUAGGUGGCCUGUCCGACACGCGUCUUCUGUCUCGAAUUUUCGAAGAGUUCCAGGACGCAUCUGAGUUGGACGAGCCCCCCGCCGACGAAUGCCGUCCUCUAGCUGAUCCAACCGAUCUGCGAAGAGCUUCCGCGGGUGAAGGAUUGUCGAGAGGGUCGUGUUGAUCCGUCCGCUCGUUUGGGGGUUGCCUCUGAACAGCUGCAUCACGACGCCCCCAUCUCUCCAGUUGGAUGAGGAUCGAGAGCGAAAUAUCUCCAAAUGAGAGAUCGAGGUUUUCCGGGAUGUCGGAUAGGUGGUUAACAGCAAUAAGACAGCGGUAUCCGGAUAGGUCCACCAUGCGAGAGCUGAAGUCAUCGGCGCGUAUGAACCGGUCGAAGCCUCCGACGAGCGCAGACACCGUGCGGGACGACCAACACUCGUAAGGAAGGCUGACCAGGCGGAUCCAAGCAUAAUAGGUUAGCGGGGGGUGAUGUGCGCCUGCGUAAGGGUUCCAAGGGAAACAACGCAGCCGAACUUCCCCCAGACUGAUCGUUUCACGUCGGAGAAGUUGGUCGCACGGCACCCAUUCCGGCAGGAAGACAACGUAGUCUCUCUCGCUGUAUUUGGCGACGUGGAAGUCAGUCGGGAAGCCCCCGAAGCGGCUUGCCAGGCUGUUCGCAAUGGUUUGCUGAGGGAAGUGGCCUAGGUUAGCUGGAGGUAGCACAUCAGCUAAGAUAGCGUUGCGACGACGGUUUUGCCGGGCGGAGAAAUCAUCGGAGAGCGGAACAAAGGCGUUGAGGUAGGCGGGGCGGGCGCGCAUUGCUCGGUAGACGGGCAACGGCAGUCGCUGUCGCUGCAUCGGCAGUCGCUGACGGUCCAUGCACGAACGUGCAAGAUGGCCGAAUUUGAAGCACCUCACACAACGGACAGGCUCUCGGCAACAAAAGGCCCUGUGGGAUCGCCCCAGACACCUGAAGCACCUCCCUUUGAACAGCUGGUGGCGGGAGAAGGGCUCGCCUGCUUCGAGGGGGGGAAAGGCGGCUCGUGGAGAACGACGGGGUUUGGGGCGAGGUUUGUACAGGUAGGUCGAAGCUGGAGUGAGGAGGGCCUCCUUAUAGGACUUCGCGAGCUCAGGAGCCGAGUGAAAGGUCUUCAGAGUGGGCCUGUCAGGAACUGCCUUGUCGUCUGACUUACAUUGUUUGAGAGUCCAAGGUGCGGAGGGAGUAAAUGGCCUUGGAUACGCCUCAGGUUUGAAGUAGGUUGUCCGAGUUAAUGUCGAGCCCACAGAAUCCGCCCAGCGCACCUUCUUGGAAGAGGAGCAACCUUCAAGGCCCGAGGAUCUCUGGUAGGUGGUCUCAUAAAUAUACCUGACUGGUUGGGUGGAACGAGAGCUGGCAGCAGUCUGCGAAGAGCAAAGCUUGUCGGAGUUCCUCCCCGCCCAGUGUUCAACCACCUUCUCCUUCCCUUUCUUCUCUACUAGCGCUUCGAAUACCGUUUUCCCCUUGCCUUUCUUCUCUACUAGCGCUUCGAGUACCGUUUUCCCCUUGCCUUUUUUCUCCAGAGCAUCAACUUGGGCUACUUUCUCCUUUUUCUCCUUGUUCUCCUGCUUCUCUUUCUCUCUCAACAUUUUUUCUAAACUGCGAAAUUUUUUUUUUUCAAUUCAUUAUUAUUACGUUAGUUUAUUUUAGAUCCGAAAAAAAAUUAAUACAGAAUAGUGAUGCAUGCCAUUAAGGUUCCAUCUUUAAAAAUAGGGUAAACUUCAAUUUUUUCCUAUGCAAUGUAGCAUAUUUUCACUGUGACAUUCUACGGUUUAAAAACUUUCACUUUUAACCCCUUGUGGUUUAAUUUUUACUGUACCCAAAAAUUCUAUAUGAAGUAAGAUAGCAAAGUAAAAAAAAAUUUUACAAAGCCACAAAAUGGUAAAGUAGAAAACUUGGUAAACCACAUAAAAGUAAAGUGUAAUUUUUUAAACUAUAGGGUAGCGAAGUAAAAAAUGAACGAAAUCAUAGAGAGGCAAAAUGAUAUUUUUUGAACCAACAGGCCGGAUAGUAAAGCGAAAUUAGACUAAACCAGAGGGGGACAAUGCGUAUUUAGUAAAUUUCUAAUGGUGACUUCUAAUGGUGACAGUCUUGGAGGGGAUCUAAUCUAAUGGUGACUUCUAAUGCCCAUAUAGUGUUAUAUUUUACAUUAGCAAUAUAGUUCCUAAUUACUAUGCAUUUUACACUUUGAUACAUGUAAUCUGGGGAAUGGAGCAUGGGUAGAAAUAUUAUCUUAUUCCCCAAUUCUCUCCUCUCCUCUCCUCUUAAUCCCUGUAUCCCUCUAUUUCUCUUCUAUUCCCAAUCCCUAUCUAUCCCUCCUACCUGUCAAUUCUUAUCCCCCAUAAUUUCUUCCUCAAUUCCCAUCAAUUCUGCGAAGUAAUUGCACAGUCCCAUCGGAAUUGGUGCCGGAACCCACCAUCAUCCCCGUCGCCGUCCUCGCCUCGGCAAAGUAUCGUCAUCGGCGGGUUGCAACGGGUCCGGGAUAUUACACUCUGGUGAGCAUUUAAUUCUAACAAAUUUUUAAAAUUGCUAACGAAAGGACUGAAAUCAAAGGAUUUGUAAGUUGAGAGAUGUAAAUCAAAUAAAAAAAACAAAAAUACAAAGUCUACAAUCUUUACAAUUGUCGAUCCAAGACGCAGAGUAUAGUUCGCGUAUUUUAGUUUUUAGUUAAAAAAAAAAUCAAAAAAAUAUUUGGACGAGACGAGCUGGAAAAAAGUGGACAUUGGAUGGCGGAAGUUAUAGGGUUAGCAUUGCUCAUUUUUUUUAAAAAAAAAAUCACGGCAUUUAAACCGAAAACAAUUGGGGAAUUAACUCCUAUAAAUAUUAUUUUAGAAUCUAACCCUCAUUCCAUGCAAGAGUAACACCGGCGCUAGUUAGCAAAAUUUAAGAUUAGUUAGUUGCCACAAGAAGAUGGCGAAUCAUUCGGUGCCUUUUGAAUAGAAGACAACUUAAUAAUUUAUUACCUACUUAAUUUCAUCCGCCUAUUUAUAAGCUUUAUUGUGUUUCUCAUGCAGUAAAUUAGAAGAGAUAAUUUUCUUUGUGUUCUAAAGCUUUACAAAAUUAGGUGUUGAGCAUAAUUAAGUGUUUAAUUUGUAACUUCGUUGGAUAGAAGAAUCUAGUAACCUAUUGGGUAAUUAAAUUUCAACCAACUAGAGUAACUCGCCAAAGGAAAAAAAAAAAAAAAAGGAAAAAAAAAAAGAUACGCCUCUCCAAUAAUCACUGCUGAAAGAUUGACAUGAAUUUGGUCGCAAAAUCUGAAUCAAAACCAAACUUACACAGACUGAAAACUGAGUUUGUUAGUUAAUUUGUUUUUCUGUCUUCAACACAUAAAGAAAUUUAAUUUCUUUCUGAAAAUUGUAAAGAAAUUAAAAGUAAAGCAGCUGUUGGAUGUAGUUGUAAGUUGAUGCGUGCUGAAGUACAGCAGCCCUUUUUUUUUCCUUUUACAAUGAGUCGGCCGCACCGACCAAAUUUACUCUCAAAAUCGAUGUACAGCCCUCAAUAAAAACUUAAGAAGUUUAACAAAAUUUCAAGUAUAAAUAACUUUAGACCUGGGAUACUUUGUCUACUUCAAAGAAGCUCAUCAACUUCAUCAGAUCAUGAGAUUUGCUAGUUGUGCAGAUAAAGUGAAGAGAAACAAAUUGCUAUCUUGCCAUCAUAGAACACACAGAUUAUUACUCUUUAACCUUCGCGCACUUCGCUAAUUAAACAUACAUCUCCAAAUCUCAAUCUUCAAAAUAUAUAAUGUAAUAUAUUAUCCUUCCUUGCAAAGAAAUCAAAUUAGUCCCACAUUCUUAUGCUCGCUAAUUGGUCUCCUAGGGAAGGUUAAUUAAGCAGUGAAACAAAAUAACCAGUAAAAUUAAGCUACACAAAGCAGUAAAACCUUAACCAUCCUUUCUAACAAGGCUGAAAUGGAUAGACUAAAAUUACAGGACUCAACUUAUAUACGAUACAGUCAAAAUUGGCCAUAAAAAAUUGUCGAAAGCAUGUUUUAAUAUUUAAAUAAUCAUUAUCACAUUUGUCUGACCUUUUUUUUUUAUCAAAUCACAAAACCUUGUUUUUUUUACAUUCUUUACUUUUUUUUUUUUUAGACACUUCAUAUCAUUUUAUAUUAUAUUAAUUCGGUUUAUUUUUUAAGUUUGCAGACAAAUUUUUUUAUUAUUAUUUUAACUCUACGAAAGACAUGAAAAAAACGGCAUUAGACAUCUGGAGAUAAUAACCUAUACGUCUGUUAUUAAAGAGGUAGGCUUUCCGACACCUCAUCCCCACAGUUGCUCGGCUUAUGCUCGCUCGACCCGAGUAAAUUAUUUGCUCGGCUUAUGCUCGACCCGAGUAAAUUAUUUGCUCGGCUUAUGCUCGAUCCCAAAUCCCAAAUCCCAAAAUCCCAAAAAUCCCCAAAUCCCAAAUCCCAAAAUCCCAAGUCCCAAGUCCCAAGUUGUAUAUUUCAUAAAUCCGAAUCCUGAGGGACACGGAAUGAGAAUGACGUACAUAACGUAAAAAAAAAAAGAAAAAAAGAUAACGGUUUAAUUACAUUUUAGAAAUACCUACUUUAACAGGAUUUUUAUUAAUUAAAUGACAAACUAAGGACGUGUUCAUCGUUUAGAGUAUCGGGCCACUCGAACAAAUCAAAACAGAUGAUUGACUACUUCAACAACUCGGAUCAAAUUUGAAACCAAAUCUUACACAAAGUUUGGAAAAAAUAAAAAGAAAAAAGAAAAGAAAGUCGUCGUAUUAAUCAUGGGAAUUCGAACACUCGAAUAAAAGUCACCAUAUUUAAUAUAAGUUUAAAACAAUUUCAAAUAUACAAAAAAAUUAUGUCCAACAUAGUUAAACCCUCAUUUAAAUUAUCCACGUACGAGACAGUUAUUCCGAGCUGACUGAGCAACAUUUUCCUUUUAUUCUCGUUUUGACGUUGUCGUGCGUACUUGAACGUUGGUUGUAGGACGUCAAAGUAUGAAAAUGAUAGAAACGUGAAAGAUUUGUUUGAAUUCUAAGUAAUUGCUGNUUGACACCCCUACUCCACAGCCUUUCGGAUGGAGAAAUUAUUGUCUGCAUAUCCAAUAAUAGAGGUCUACAGAUUACGGAAAAAAAUGUACAGAAAGCAUCUCAAUUUUAUUAUUAUUUUUUUAAACAGACGUUUGAAUUUUUUAUUUGGCUUAAUUAUAUUAUAUUUUACUAUACUUCACAGAUUUUUUUUUUUUUCAUUUCUUACAUUUUUUUUGUUCCAAAACACUAAACUAUUUUUUUUUUUCCAGUCUGUUUACACUAUUACUAAUAAAUUUAUAAUUUUGUACGAAAGCUGUUAAAAAAUACCGGUUAAAACUGACAUAGCAUAUAUUCAACUCAUUUUGACAUGAAAAUAAUAAAAUAAAUAAAAAUUAUAAAAAAAAUAAAAAUAACUUGAUAGAAGCUUUCAAUGAGUCUAUCAGAGAGAUUCCCUUUAUAUUUAUUUUCUAUUUUUUAACUAGUAUUUCUUAAUAAGUUGUUAAAAUUUUUCUAAAAUAAUAGAUUUAUUAAAAGUAAUGUAGUGAUUGAUAAGAAAAAAUUAGUUUAGUAAUAUCUAUAAAAAAAUAGUAAAGGGUAGAAACCAAAAAUAAAUCUAAAAUAUAAUGUAAAGAUUGAUAAAACAUAAUAAUACAAUAAUGUCUUUGAAAAAAAAGUAUAAUAUAGCAAGUAAAGUCUAAUACUGAAAGUACAGUAUAGUAGAGUGUAAUAAGUCUUGAAAGAAAUCUAUACUUAUAUAUCUAUAUCUAUACUUUUUUUUACUACAUUAAAGGAGGGUUUGGGGACCAUGGGGUGACACGUGUCCCCCCACCUCCCUCUUCUCUCACUAUACAUAUAUUUCAUAUAUAUAGUAUCUAUAUAAAUAAAAUUUUAAAUUUUCGAUAUCAAAAUUUGAAAUUUUGAUACUUUCAAAUUUCAAAGUUUUAAUUUCCAAAUUUUAUAUUCCAAAUUUUAAAUUACAAAUUUUAAAUUUUAAUUUAUAAUAUUUAUUUUAAAUUUUAAACUUCAAAAUUUAAAAUUUGAAAUCCCUAAACUCUUUUUAUUUAAAUAAAAUUAACUAUUAAAUUAUUUUUAUAUAACUUUAUUUAAUUAAUAAUUAGACAUAAAAUUAUAUAAAAAAUAAAAAACUAAAGGUUAUUAUAAAAAUAUUUUUAUAUCCGCAGCAUCGCUAUUAAAUUAUUUUCAUAUAACUUUAUUUAAUUAAUAAUUAGACUUAUAAAAUUAUAUAAAAAAUAAAAAACUAAAAAUUAUUAUAAAAAUAUUUUUAUAUCCGCAGCAUCGCGCGGGUAUUUCACUAGUAUAAUACUGAAGCUGAACAUGAACAACCACUGCCACAAAUGGUCCCACAUCAUCAAAAUUCUGAAGCUCGUGAUUUUCCUCAAAUUAAGCAAAUGCAAUCAGUUUAAGCAGCAACUUAAGUGAUGUCCUGCAAUAUUCUUGCCAUAAUAGAACACACAAAUUACUAACUAAACAAAUUUCCACAAAUCUGGGUCUUCAAAAUAAGUAAUGUAAUUAAUUAUACCUCUCUACUAAGAAAUCAAAUUAGUCCCACCACUUGCACUCAAAUAUGCUUCAGCUUGCUAAUUGUUGGGUCUCCUAGGGAAGAUUAAUUAAGCAUUAAAACAGAAUAACCAGUAAGAUUAAGCUACAUUAAAGACGCUAAUCACAUUAUAUAUAUAGACUAUGUACAUGCAGUAGUCUUAUUCCAAUCCUGCACCAAGAAAAAAAAGGAGAAUGUACACAAAGCAAUAAAACUUUAACCAUCCUUCGUAACAAGGACGAAAUCAAUAGACUAAAAUAACAGGAGUCUUUUUAAUUCAUACAACACAGAGAACAAAAAGAAAAUAGAAAUACAUAGGCAGUUUAUUUUGGUCUUGUUACAUUUAUAUAGAGAAAUCGAUAUAGUGCUUAAUUCGUUCUCGAACCACUAAACAUAGAACAUAAGCAACAACACUACAAUUUUUUUGCGCAGCAUCUACCAAAUAUACUCCAAAUGUUGAUACAAUCUGCACUAAAAACUAAAACAGUUUUAACAAAAUUGAAAGCAUGAUUUAUACUACUGCUGAAAUUGAGUUACACAAAUUUAAUCUGGUGCCUAUUAUACUGCAAAAAAAAACAAAAGAAAAAAGAAAAACAAUAAUAAUCUGAAACACAUUUAGAGCAAUGUUUAACAACUUUUUUUUUGAGAAAAAAAUAGCAUGCUACCCGCUUCAUUCAUAUAGUAGGUGAAUUAAGCAACAUGGGUGAGGCAUCAAGGCCUCAAGGUUGAUGGAGCCAAAAAGGAAAAAACAGGAGAACAGAUGUUGUUUGCAAAGUACAGCUGAUACCUCUAUGCUGACUACGAGGUCUAACUAUAGCUCUACGGAUCAGGAAUACCCCACUGAGCUAUCAGAUGUUUGAUCUUAUGAGUCCCACGGAUCGGAUCGGCCUGGGACUUCGCAAAAAUGAUUCCAUUCCUAGUCACCCAAACCACCCACCAGCAAGCAAUAAUACCGCUUAAAUCAUUAUUCGAGACCUUCCGUCCUUUCCAUAUAUCCCACAGCUGGUGUGGGACCAGGCAAUAAUACCGCUUAAAUGUUUAACAACUUCAUCAGAUAAUAGACAGAAAAGUAAACAAGCUUAUGACCAGGCAAUGAGAUUGGUUAUUUGUGCAGGAAUAUUCAAACACUAAAUUAUAUUUAGGAUAGAUGAAUACAAAUUGAGGAGAAAUAAAAUUGAAGCACUUAACCUCCCUGCCUCAAAAGAUGGCAAUUUUGUUUUCAAAGAUUUACUGUUGAUUUGGCUACAGAGGACGCGAAAAAAAAAGAAAAAUGGAAAACAUGGAAUCUGACUCUAAUCCUGCACCAAGAAAACUGAAGAACACAAGCAUGUAGAAAGAAAUUAGUCUUUUUUUCACUUUUAAUUCCUAGAAAUAGAUUGAUAGAAAACUCAUAGAGAGCCAUAUAUUACUCCAGCACUAAUAAAAUAGGAGAACAUAAGCAGCAAAACUUUACUCUUAUUAUAUAUUCCUUAAUAAAGAAUUGAUAGAAAUAUGAGUGUUAUACCAUUACUACAGUCCUGCACCAAGAAAUUUAAGGAACUUCAAAAGCUUUUGUCACACUUCUCUCUUCCUUAUUAUGUUCUAACUCAUCAACUAGUCAUAUUUAAUUGUAGAAGGUAAUUGAUAGAGUGCAUAUAAUAUCAUCAUUACAUUUUUUGUUUUACAUGACUAAUUUAUUGCUUCAGUGUUCACGCCUAAUAAGAUAUAAUACCUGAACCACGAGCAUAGGAAAUCAAAGGCAAGAGAUACUGAAACAGAAAUUUUAUUUAAUUUCUAAUACAAAUGUGGAAGAUAUGUGAUGCAGAGGGUAAGCAAAUACUAUAAUAUCUUUGUAAUCACGCGCUGCGAGCACCAUGUCCUGUAAGGAGUGAUUAGCACUAUAAUUUCUUUUAUACAUGCACCCAAACCAUAAAUUAAGGGUACAAAAUAUAAAAAUUUGUUUUGAGGAUGCUAAUUAAAAGCAAACCAGAUUGCUCUUUCAUUGUCUGAAAAGAAAAAGGCUAGUAGUCCUGAAACAAAUGAAAUAACCUUGUUAGUUAAGAUCGAAUAAGACGUAGUUCAUUAAGACCAGAGUGAAUUGCAUUAAUUACAGAGGGUAGCAUGGGUAAGAUGAAGGGUGGUAAAGUGAACAUACAAUAUGCAUCAUCACCUUUGCAAAUGCUAAAAAAUCGUCAGAUCAGGGAUGUCGGCAAUCUUGGGCCAAUCAAGGCCUAUAUUCUCUUGGCAUCGCUCCUUCAACACAGGGUGACACCCGGUGAUGCAUAGAGUACGCAGUGAAGCAGGCAGGUCUGGAAGUGACUGGAUAAGAUUAGCAUUAUACACUAGCAAACGCAUGAGGAAGCAUAGUUUUGUCAUGCUCUGGGGUAGGGACUGAAGGGAGCAUGCAUUUUUUAUGCUCAAAAAGUAGAGGGCACUGUGAUUUUGCACCAGCCAUUCCUCAGGUAAGGAAGUGAGUUGCGAAGCACCAAGGAGAGUCAUCCUACUGAUGGAGGAGAGACUCCUCAAUGGCUCCAUGAGCAGGAGUGCGUGGUGGUCAAUUGAUAGUCUACCAAGCUUCAAAAAGCAGUCAAGUGCAUUCUUUUGGCUGACAUUAUUUGGAAAUGGAGGCUGACGCAGGGAAACUUCAAUUAGCUUGUCACACCCUUCAAUUUCUAAAGAACGAAGAGACACAAGAGCUUGUAUUCCACCAAAUGAUGAUAGUUCUUUGCAGUUCUUUAUCUCUAAACUGGAAAGCAUUGUCCACCCUGCACACACUUGUGCUGGGGGAAGGGAUGCUAUCCUUGCACAAUCGAGUAAAUCCAAACAGGUAAGAGAGGCUAAAUCUGCUGACCACAGCAAUGGCACCUCAAGGUCGCCACAUGACCCAAUAGUGAGUUGACUGAGUAUAGAGGGCAGUUGGAUGUCUGAGAUCCCACGUUUUGUCAACUUUGGGCACUUUUCUAUACACAAGAAUUUUAGGGGGUUGAAUUUCCGAAAAAACUCUGUUGGAAGAUAUUCGAGCUUCUCACAUUGUUUGAUGGUUAAAGUUGCAAGAGCCUUAAAAUGUUCUUGUUGCUGCAGAAAGAAAAGAUGUAAGGAUAUUAAGUCAGGGCAAUCACAGCCAUGCAAAUAUAUAAAUUGGUGUUUUAAUAUAAGGGUAAACUUCAAAUGCUCUUUUGUUGUUUGACUCAUUUUCACCUUGCCACCUUGUGGUUCAAAAAGUUUCAUUUCACCCUCAUGCAGUUUAAUUUUUUAUUUCACUAAAAAAUUCUAUAUGACAUAGAGUGGCAAAUAAAAAUUUUUAAAAAACCACAAGGUGGCAAAGUAAAAAAUGCGCUAAAUGAUAGGGGGGCCAAAGUGCAACUUUUUGAAACGCAGGGUUGCAAAGAGAAAAAUGAGCUAAACCAUAGGGAAGCAAAGUGAAACUUUUUGAACCGCAGAGGAGCAAAGUGAUGAGCUAAACCUUGGGGUAGGUAAUAGGUAAUUUGAAGUACACAAAAUAGAGCACUUACAUUGUUGUUUCCGCAAUCUUGAUUUAUUGUUGAAAGAGCAGUCAAUCCAACAUCAGAAAUUUUCAUUCGUCUUAGAUUGCGAGGCAGAGUAGGAAUUCCCCUCAAAUUAGGGCAGCCAAUAAUCUCCAGAGAAUGAAGUAGAGGAAACAUGCAUCCAUCAUCUACUCCAAUCCACUCCUCCAAGUUAGGCAUGUAUAAUAAGAAUAGCUGCUUCAACGAUGGAAAGGCACAUACACCGCUGCUCCCGUAGAAUGAACAACAUAUGUGCUUUACUGCAUGUAGUUUACACAGGUAAAGACGGUUAAGCAAAGGCAGGUCCCCAAGAGGUGGGAGGUGCUCCCAUCCUUCACAAUCAAUCAGUUCGAUGGAUGUCAAGUUGAUGAGAGACAGAUCUGUCAUCCAACAAGGAGAUUUCACACCUUUGUAAUUUUGAAUACGCAAUCUCUUGAGAUUGAUAUGCGGGCAGAGGUUAUCAAGGAGCUGCUCAUCCGUCUCUACACAACUGGAGCGGUCUCUGGACCAUCCCAAUGACAAUGAUUUGAGAUAUUCUUUCUCGUUCAACUUGGCCUCCAUAACUUCUUCAGAACUCCUCACAUUUUCAAGUUCUCUAACGCACAAAUGACGAAGGUCUCUUAGGUUCAUUAGUUCACCGAUUUUGUAACCACUCUCCUCUCGGACUACAAAAUUUUUUAACUUGUGGAUGAAGGGUAGUUUGCUAAUAUAACGAAUAUUUUUUAUCAUACCAUGACGAUCAUCUAACGAACGCAAAUUGACCAAGUUAGUCAAGCCAUCAUAUUCAAUAUUAUACGUGCCUAUUCCAAAAGUCAAGAGCUUCAGGAAUUGUAGGUGAUAAAGCCUACAAAGAGAUGAACGAAUGAAGCCCAUGAAACUUUCAUCUAUUACCACUCUUUCCGAAAGAGAUAGGUAGCGGAGGUGUAUCAAGCUAUUAAGUGCAUAGGGCAUUUUAUAAAAGUCAAAAGUCACAUGCAUACUCAGUAAGCGUAAGUUUUUAAAUCCUUUUAUAACCUCACUAAACACAAGUAAAUGAUCUGUAUUAUGCUCAUGAUUCUCUUCAACAGAUACGACAAGAGUGCGCAAGUUCUUAAGAUUGGAGAUCUCUCUAAUGGAAAGAAGAUUUGUGCUUUCAACAGAUAAAUGUCGAACUGUCCGUGGAAUAGUAUUUCCUACAAUAUCACCUCCUAUUCUGAUGCAUUCUCCGAGAGAAACAGAUUGUGCUAGGUCAUGCAGCAGAUCGUGCAUAACAUAAGAUUUAGAAAUUUCAAACCCAUAAUCAUUGGUUUUGCGAGUAAAGAAUGAUUUUCUUGUCAGGAGAUCUAAAUAUUCCUCUCCGAUAUCUUCUGGCCUCCGCUUUCCACAUAUAGACUGCGGAAUCAGACCUGAACCCAUCCACAUAUAGACCAACUCUUUCUUCUUAAGCAUGUAAUCUUGUGGAAAUAUACUACAAUAUCUAAAGCAGAGUUGUAAGUUUGUCGAUAAGUGAUCGUAGCUUAAUCUCAAAAUUGUCAUGAUGUCGUCCUUUCUAUGUUGCAAUUCCACAAUGUCUUCUUUCAAGAUUCUUUUCCAAUAGCCAUAAUCCAUGCAGGAGUUUAGGAGCCCUCCCAUAACCUUUAUUGCCAAUGGGCAUCCUCCAAGCUUCUUUGCUAUCUGCUUGCCAAUCAAUUGCAAGUUUUUAUAAUCAUCUGGGUUCACACCAAGAAAAGCGUGCUUAUUGAAAAGCGACAUACAAUCGCUCUCCUUCAACCCAUUUAGAUUUAAAGAUUCCUUUUUACAUUGCAUCACUUUUGCCACCAUAUCUGCAACUGAACCCAUUCGAGUUGUCAAAAGGAUCUUGCUUCCUCUUUGUCCAAGUUUCAAAGGAGCAACUAAUUUCUCCCACUCUAUCGCAUUAUCAUCAUUCCAAACAUCAUCUAGCAUGAGCAAAAAGCGCUUCGACAAAAUUUUCUGUUUAAGGAUAUAAUGGAGCGCAUUUAGACUCUUGUCGCCAAAACUCUCACUACUUGCACCUUCUAACAUCUUUCUUGUUAUCACAGUUGCAUCAAAGUCUUGAGAAACGCAAACCCACAUAAUCGGGUCAAAGUACUCUCGCACUCUGUCGUCGCUAUAAACUAGUUGAGCAAUGGUAGUCUUCCCGAACCCACCCAUACCAACAAUGGUAAAAGCAGAGACGUCCGUAUCUCUCGGUUUGAUCAACCAUUCGACUAUCAAGUGCCUCUCCUCGUCUCGUCCGAGCACCUCACUUUCGGUUAACAAGGAGCUAGUCUCGCGAGCAUUCCGGACUUCCUCAAUCUUACGACGCUUAACGCCAGGGCCAUAUAACCCAGUAACAAGUUGAAGGAGUGGCCCCAUACCGUCAACGACCCGAUCCAACCCCUUGACGGCCUCCCUCAACCUCUUCAGUGUGUCAUCGCUAAAGAUACGAUUAACGAAACUGUCAAACUUUCUCCUACAUUUAGAGAGAAUGCCACGCACCUCGUCAUCUCGAUCUUGUACUAUCUUCUCUAGCUCGUAGUACUCCAGCUCGUCGAGCGCGUCCUCUGCGCACUCCACAGCAUCUCUGAGCUGCCACAGCCACGUAUCCAGCGCCUUGUUCUGCGCCAUGACCAUCGCACCCUCCUCGACCGCAGUCAAGACUGCCUGGACCUGCGGAAGGGCGUGCUGCAGCCGUUCGAGCUCGUCCUGCAUGCCGCCGGCCGCCGGGUACACCUCGAGGUAGGAUGAGCAAGUGCUGACGAGAUUCUCGAUGAUCGCCGACGCCGCCGAUUCGGCUAUGAAAGGUAAAGCCAUAACCCUCCAGAUAAUAAGCUCAAACCACAGCUACUUCACCACCGCUCAGGCAACUCAUCAAACACUUGGAGUGCCAAAAAGAUAGAGAAUGAGGAAAGAGUAACGCUGAAAACAAUCACUCUCACUUAUUAGGUAAUAUACACAGCAGGUAUAUAUGGCAUCUCUCUUCAUGCAAAUUAACUGCAUGCAGACAAAAAAUUAAAAGGAGGAUACAGUUUGGGGAAGACUGACAUGUGAUCGAUUUCACAUGACCGUAGGUUCUGCCGACUUGUUUGAGAAUCCAUGCCCCCAGUCCUGAACUCACAUAAUUAAUUAAUCAUAUUCAGGGCCGUGUAAUCCUCGCCCCCACGGCACCGCUGUACUGAGGGAGCAGUUACACUUUUGACGCUCAAACUGUACCUUUUUAGUUCUUGAAUUUUAAUUCAUUGUAUUCUGGUCUUAACGAGAGUGAGACUGUAGACCACCUAUUCAUGGGAUGUGACUUUUUCAGAGCUUUAUCUCUAUAAGUCAGCUCUUCGUAUAUGUAAUACUGCCGAUUCGCUCCGGGAUGAGAGCCGGCAUAAAAGUGGAGUGCUGGGCGAAACGAAAUUAGCGACAAUUGCCGCAACACGGUGGAUCGUUUGGUUGGAGCGGAAUAAAAGAAUUUUUCAAAAUUCUAAACGAAUGGUAGGCGGCUUAGGGACUCAGAUACGCUCUUUUAGAAACACCUAAAAUCCUUUUUGCUACUUUUUUUUCCCUAAAAAACAGAUGCCGAACUGCUUCAGAUUAUAGCUGAGUUCAUCUUCCAAAUGAAUGAAACGGUAACAUGCUAUCUAUUCUCAAAAAAAAGAAAAGAAUUUUAAUUCGUUGUAAUUUUUGACUUGAAUUGUGAGAUGUGUGACAAGUGUCCGAACUUUAAUUUGCCGUAAUUUUUUACUUGAAUUAUGAGGCGUGUACCACUUUAGUCUUCGAACUUCAAUUAGUUGCAAUUUCUCAUAGUUGGAGCAAAAAUUGCAACAAAUUAACCAGUGCCCUCUUAAUAAAAUUAUUAAAUUUUAUUUAAAAAUAAUUGAUUUGUUAACCUUAGUAUAGAGAUUGGUGAGAGAAAAUAAAAAGUUUAGUGAUAUAUAUGUAUGAGAAAAGAAAAUAUAAUUAAGCCUGUAAAUAGUUAUAAAUUUUGGAUAAUAACAAAUAACGACCCUUUCUCUUACCAUUGAUGAUACCUUAAUAACAUCUAAUUGAUUUGAGUCUUUGAUUUACAAAUAAGUGAGGAGCAACUGCAAUGCACCAAAUUAUUACCUGCACCUGGUGUACGAGUACAUAUCUAUGCACCGCAUCUCUAAAAUGGACAAAUGUUUUGGACAAAUGUUUUAGAGCUACGAAAAUUAAAAUCUAACUCACCGUCAAUGUGAAAGUGAUUUUAGACCCAAAAAUGAUUUUUUCCUUUCAUAAAGCAUUUGAUAACUUGUUUUCAAAAUCUAAUUCUGUAUUUAAAAUCAAUUUUCUGAGUUUAGAGAUCCAAAAUCAGAAGUAUUUAAAACCUGCUUCUUAAAUCUGAAUCUAAUUUUGAACUCAAAUUUUAAGCUUAAAUUUUAUUUUAGAUUCAAAUUUUAAAUUUAAAUUAGAUUUUUAAAAUUUUAAAUCUUAAAUUUUAAGUAUCAAUUUACUUUUCAAAAUUUUGAAUUUAGAUAUUAUUUUUAGAUUUUAAAUCUCAAUUUUUAAAUUCAAUUUCAAAUUUGAAAUUUAAGCUAAAGUUUAAAUCUUGUCUAUGAAAUUUGAAAAUUUUGGACAUCGAAUUUUUUUAUACAUAAAAUUUUGGACACUACCUUUUUAAAAUAAAAAAAAAAAAAUUGAAACGAUUUCUGUUGUUCUACUCAAGCCUUCGUUUGGAUUGAGGGAGAUUUGUGUUACGUGCGGUGAAAAAGUACAUUUAAAUACCUAUUGUUUUCCGUAGUAUAUUGCGUUACGAAUAUCACGAUGAGUUGGUUACGAUAUAUUUUCUGCGGUCCACACGGAGAACGACAGAAAUAUCUCUUAGUUUUUUUCUCAACUCCAUUAUUCUAAUACGUUAGAUAGACUCAAUACCAACUAAGCCUAAAUCGUUUACAAAUCUCAUAAUGUUUUUUAAUCUACUCUUUUUAGAAUAUUUUAGGUUUAAUUAUAUUAGACCAAAUGUAUGUUGUGUGGUGCAUAUUAGCGUAUGUAUACACUGGGUAACAGGCAUUUUUUCUUCCGCAUAAUUGGUGUUUGGUAAACAUAAACUUAGUAAAAAUAGUUUAAGAGAUAUUAAAUUAUAGAAAAAAUAAUAAUCCACUUGUUAGUAUUUGGUUUGGCAUAAAACGAAAUUGAGAUUGAAGCACAAGUAUUCUGUUUGAAAGAAAAGAAAAUAAAAUAUGUAGGAAAGUAGAUGUGUGAUGGAUGACAAAUACUGACUUUUUAGUUUUUAUUUUUUCAUCCGAAAAUAAUUUGCAAAAUCGUAUACGGUGCGUCUCUUAAAGUAUAUAAUUAUUUGUCACUGGAAAGUGUAAAAUACGCAAACCAAAUCUCCUAAAAUCUAAUAUUAAUAUUCGACCGAAAAACUAUUUUCGACCUGAGCUAUUUAUUUGAAUGCAUGAAUAUCUUAUUCGGUCUCUCUGUUCUAUUUAUUCAAGAACUGUAUAGUAUUUGGUAGAUUAGAAUUUUCAUAAAUUUAAUGGUUUUAAUUAUCUUUUUGCAAACAAAACUGAAACAACCAAUAGUUAAUAGAGGUAUUAAACUUCACCAAAUUUUCACUUUAACUAACUCAAAUAACUCAAAUAAAAAAAAAAAAAAAAAAAACUAUACUAGAACCUAAGAACGGUGUCAAAAAAAUAAAAAUAAAAAACAAAUUGUGAAGUUGAGGGGCCUAUUUCGCAAUGGCCUAUAAUUGCAUAGGUUUCAUUACAAUUUUACCUCAAAAUAAAAAAAAAAAAAAAAUGUAUAUGUAUGCAACAGUUCGAAAAUUAAGGAACUGCAGAAAGGAAUGUAGACAGAAAAUUUGAAUCAAAACGAACCUUACAGAGAUUGCAGACUGAACUGAACAUAAGCAACAGUUGUCGGUCUGUUCGAGUUUUGAGUGUGCUUUUCUGUGUUCAAUGCAUCAGGAAAUUAAUUUUUUUUCUCUUUUGGAAAAUCGUAAAGAAAUUAAUUUUCAUUUUACGAUGAGAUGUCGGCCUGAGUAUUAUCGACGGAGUAUCUGUCAAAUUUACUCCGGAAAGUGGAUACAACCUGCAUUAGAAACUUGAAAAGGUUUAACAAAAUUUAGAGUGGACACAAGUUCAAUCUGGGUGCUUGUUAUACUGCUAAAAAAUAUAUAAAAAUUGAAAACACAUCUUAAAGCAAUGUUUAGACCAUGGAUGUUUUAGCUACCUCAAAGAAGCUCAACAACUUCAACAUAUAACAGACAACAACAGAACAAGCUUAUGACCAGGCUAUGCGAUUUGCUAUUUGCGCGGGAAUAUUCGGACACUAAAUUGAGGAGAAACAAAAUUGAAGCAUUUAACCGCCCUGCCGCAAAAGAGGGCAAUUUCUUUCUUAAAGAUUUUACAUUAGUUUGGCUGCUAUAUAUACACAUACACACACACACAAAAAUACAUGGAAUCUUAAUCUGAUCCUGCACCAACAAAUUCAUGUAAGAAAUUAGUCUUUUUUUUGAUAUUCUUAUGAAUAAAUUGAUGGACCAUGACCAUGUAUGCGAGUCAUAUAUGACAAUAAGAGCCUUUUUCACUAUUGCACCAAAGAAGAAAAAGAAGAGAGAAUAGGUAGUAAGAUUUUAAUACUGUUUUAUGCCCGAUAAGGGAAAAUAGAUUCGAGCGCCAAUACGGAGUCCUAAUCCUUGCAUGUUCCUGCACUACCAAAAUAGAACAUAAGCAGCUACUCUUGCUUUAUAUUCUUGAAAAUUUUGAGAGAAAUAUAUAUACAUAGGAGUGCUAUACCAUUACUACAGCCCUGCACCAAGAAAUUUAACAAACUGAAAAAGCUUUCGUCAUGCUUCUCUUAUGUUCGAACUCAUCAUCAGCCAGACUUCGCAUCUUGUUUGUACUCCUAGAGAGAGGAAUUACUGCACAAUUAGUCAUAUUUAACUUUAGAAAGCAAUUGACAUGCUAGCAAUUAACAUAUGUUAUAUUCAUUACAUUGUUUGUUUUAUAUAUAAGACCAAUCCGUCCGGCAAGCACAAGGUAUUAUAUAUAGGAGGCAAUUAGUGCUUUAUUCCCUUUUUAUGUAUCCAAAUCAUAAAAUGAGAGUACAAAAUGUAAAAAUUCCAUUGAGGAUGCUAAUUAAAAAUGAAACCCGACUGCUCUUGCAUUAUCUGAAAAAAGGUAAGCAAUCCCGUAAGAAAUGAUAAUUUGUUAAGACUGAAUGAGAUGUAUGUAUGUAGUUCAUUAAGACUGAAAUGAAUUGCAUUAUUUAUACAAAGGUUAUGAGAUGAAGGCGGGUGGUAGAGUGUACGUACAAUAUGCAUCAUCAUCCAACCUGCAAAUGCAUGUUCAAUCCUGCAUUAACGGAAUGUUGGCAAUCUUGGGCCAAUCAAAGGCCUAUUCUCUGGCAUCGCUCCUUCACAUAGGGUGACACGUUGGACUAGACACGCAGUGAAGUAGGCAGAUCUGGAAGUGACCGGAUAGAAUAGCAUCUUUCACACUCAAAAUGACGAGGGGACACAGUUUUGUCAUGCUCGGGUAGGGACUGAAGGGAGCGUGCAUUCCAUAUGCAUAAUUUGUUCGAGGGCAGCGUGAUUUUGUAGUAGCCAUUCCUCAGGUAAGGAGGCGAGUCGUGAAGCAUCAGAGAGAGUCAACGAGCAGACGGAGGAGAGACUUCUCAAUGGCUCCAUGAGCAGAAGCGCGUGGUGGUCAAUUGAUAGUCUACCAUUCUUCAAAAAGCAGUCCAGUACUGUAUUCUUUUUUUGGCCGACAUCAUUUGGGAACGGAGGCUGCAGCAGAAGGGCAACUUCAAUUAGCUUGUCACACCCUUCAAUAUCUAAAGAACGGAGGGAUACGAGAGCUUGUAUUCCACCAAAUGAUGACAGUUCUUUGCAGUUCUUUAUGUCUAAGCGGGAAAGCAUCGUCCACCGUGCACACACUUGUGCCGGGGGAAGGGAUGCUAUACUUGCACAAUCGAGUAAUUCCAACCAUAUAAGAGAGGUUAAAUCCGCUGACCACAGCAGUGGCACCUCGAGGUCGCCAAAUGACCAAAUAGUGAGAUGACCGAGUACAGAGGGCAGUUCGAUGUCUGAGAUCCUACGUUUUGUCAACUUCGGGCAAUUUUCUAUGUGCAAGGUUUUUAUGGCUUUGAAUUUCCCAAAAAGCUCCGAUGGAACAUAUUCGAUCUUCUUACAGUGUCUGAUGACUAAGUUUUCAAGAGCCUGAAAAUGUUCUUGCUACCGCAAGAAAGAAAAGAUGUAAAAGAUAUUUAAGUCCGGGCAAUCACAGCCAUGCAAAUACGAAUUGGUGUUUGGAUACAAGGGUAAAGUUUAAAUUGCCCCCGUGUGAUUUAACUCAUUUUAAACUUGCCACCUUGCAGUUCAAAAAGGUUUUACUUUGCCCUCCUGUAGUUUAAUUUUUAUUUCAUCAAAAAAGUUCUAUAUGAAAUAGUGUGGCCAAUUAAAAAUAUUUAAAAAAUACUUUUUGAACAACAGGGAGGGGGGUGCGAAAUGAUACUUUUUUGAACUACAGGAGGGGCAAGUGAAAAUGAGCUAAACCUCAGGGGAGAAAUUUAAAGUUUACAAAAUAAAGCACUUACAUUGUUGUUUGCGUAAUCUUGAUUUAUUGUUGGAAAAGCGGUCAAUCCGACAUUAUAAAUAUGCAAACUUCUUAGACCAUAAUGCAGAGUAGGAAUUCUCCUCAAAUUAGGGCAAUCAGAAAUAGACAUAGACUGAAGUUGAGGAAACAUGCACCUAUCAUCAAUUCCAAUCCAAUCCUCCAAGUUAGGCAUGUCCCAUAAAAGUAACUUCUUCAACGAUGGAAAGACACAUCCAUUGUUGCUUCCAAAGAAUGAACAAUCUAUUUGCUUUAUUGCAUGCAGUCCCUGCAAGAAAAGAUGCCGGAGCGAAGAAAACUGCCAAAGAGGCGGGAGGUGCUCCCAUCUUUUACAAUCGAUUAGCUCGAUGGAUGUCAAAUUGACAAGAGACAGAUUUGUCAUCCAACAUGAAGAUUUAGCACCUUGGUAUUGUUGAAUGCGCAUUUUCUUGAGAUUGAUAUGUGGACAGAGGUUAUCGAGGAGCUGCUCAUCCGCUUCUGCACUAUUGGAGUGGCCUUCAGACCAUCGCAAUCCCAAUGAUUUGAGAUAUUUUUUCUCGUUUAAAUUGGCCUCGAUGGCUUCUUCAGAACUCUUCACAUUUUCAAGUUUCCUAAUACACAGGUGACGAAGGUCCCUGAGGUUCUUUACUUCGCCGAUUUUGUAACCACUCUUCUCUUGAACGAUAAAAUUUUUUAAUAUGUGGAUGAAGGGUAAUUUGCUAAUAUAAGGAAUAUUUUCUAUCACAUCAUCGGAAACAUCUAAUGAACGCAAAUUGACCAAGUUGGUCAAGGCAUCAUAUUCAAUGCUUUCAUUCACAACUUUCUGUAGUGAAAGAGAUAGGUAGCGGAGGUGUAUCAAGCUACUAAGUGCAUUGGGCAGUUUAUAAGAGUGAAAAUUCACAUCUAAGAUCAAUAAGCGUAACUUUCUAAACCCUUUUAUAACCUCGAUAAAUUCAAGUGCAUGAUCUGCAUUAUGCCUAUUGUCCUCUUUAACAGAAAUGACUAGAGUGUGCACAUUCUUAAGAUUGGAGAUCUCUCUAAUAGAAAGAAGAUUAAGCAUUUCGACAGAUAAGUGUCGAACUGUUUUUGGAAUAAUAUUUUCUGCAACAUCACCUCCUAUUUUGAUGCAUUCUCCUAGAGAAACAGAUCGUGCUAGGUCAUGCAGCAGAUCGUGCAUAAAAUACUUUUUAGUAAUUUCCACCCUAUUAUCAUGGGUUUUACAGGUAAAGAAUGAUUUUCUUGUCAAAAGAUUUAAAUACUCCUUUCCGAUAUCCUCUGGCCUUUCCCUGCCACAAAUAGAUUGUGGAAUCAGACCCGAACCAAUCCACAUAUUGACCAACUUUUUUCUCUUAAACAUAUGAUCCUGCGGAAAUAAACUACAAUAUCUAAAGCAGAGUUGUAAGUUUGUGGAUAAGUGAUCGUAGCUUAAUCUUAAAACUUUCAUGAUGUCGUCGUUUCCUUGUUGUAAUUUCACAUUGUCUUUUUCCAGGAUUUUCUUCCAAUAUUCAUAGUCCAUGCAGGAGUUCAGCAUUCCUCCCAUGACCUUUAUGGCCAAUGGGCAUCCUCCAAGUUUCUUCGCUAUCUGUUCGCCAAUCAGUUGCAAGUUUUUAUAAUCAUCAGGAUUCACACCGAGGAAUGCAUGCUUAUUGAAAAGCAACAUAUAGUCGCUCUCCUCCAACUUAUUUAGAUUUAAUGAUUCCUGUUUGCAUUUCAUCACUUUUGCCGCCAUAUCUGCAACCGAACGCAUCCGAGUUGUCAACAGGAUCUUGCUUCCUCUCUGUCCGAAUUUCAAAGGAGCAACCAAUUUCUCCCACUCCGUCGUUUUAUCAUCGUUCCAAACAUCAUCAAGUAUGAGCAAAAACCUCUUCGACGUUAGUUUUUGUUUAAGAUUCUCAUGGAGUGCAUGUAGACUGUUGUCGCCAAAAUGCUCCCUACUUACACAUUCUAAAAUCUUUUUUGUUAUCACAGUUACAUUGAACUCCUGAGAAAUGCAAACCCACACAAUCGGGUCGAAGUACUCUUGCACUCUUUCGUUGCGAUAGACCAAUUGAGCAAGAGUGGUCUUCCCGAUCCCGCCCAUACCAACAAUUGUAAAAGCGGAGACAUUGACAUCGGCAUCUCCCGGUUCGAUCAGCCAUUCAACUAUCAGGUCCCUCUCCUCGUCUCGUCCGAGCACCUCACUUUCGGUUAGCAAGGAGCUAGUCUCGCGAGCAUUCUUAAUUUCCUCGAGUUUCUGACACUUAACGCAAGGGCCAUAUAACCCAGUAACAAGAUGAAGGAGUGGCCCCAUACCAGCAAUGACCCGAUCCAACCCCUUGACGGCCUCCCUCAACGUCUUCAGUGUGUCAUCGCUAAAAAUACGAUUAACGAAACUAUCAAACUUUCUCUUGCAGUUAGAUAGAAUACCACACACCUUGUCAUCUCGAUCUCGUAUAGCCUUCUGUAACUCGUAGUACUCCAGCUCGUCGAGCACGUCCUCCGCGUUCUCCACGGCGUCUCUGAGCUGCCACAGCCACGUUUCUAGCGCCUUGUUCUGCACCAUGACCGGCGCACCCCCCUCGACCGCAGUCAAGACUGCCUGGACCUGCGGAAGUGCGUGCUGCAGCCUUUCGAGCUCGUCCUGCAUGCCGCUGGUCGCCGGGUACACCUCGAGGUAGGAUGAGCAAGUGCUAACGAGAUUGUCGAUGAUCGCCGACGCCGCCGAUUCGGCUAUGAAAGGUAAAGCCAUUAUUAGGAUCCUCCUAAUAGCUCCAGCUCCUACUACUCCACCACUACUCGGGCAAUUGAUCAAGCUCCUGCAGUGAAAAAGUUGGAGAAAGAGGAAGGAGAGGUUGAGCUUGCAACGAAGAAAGAUUAAUUAGGAGGAAUAAUUAAGUUCUUGCAUGCUGACAUCCAACGUGGAGCACACCUACUAAGAAAUAAAGCAUGGCUGCUUUAUUCGACAACAAAAUUAAGCCCCCUACUAAUUAAGUGGGUGUUUAAUUUGAUUCCCCAAUUUUCUUUUUUUUUUAAAAAAAAAAAUGAAAACCAGUGUUUUUCGGAAAAAAAUAUAUAUAAUUUUUAUUUUUUGAAUAGGGAAGACAAUUUUCGGAUAAAAUUUAGAAACUAAACAAGCUAAAUUUAAAAAAAAAAAAUCAGCUAGAAAAUUAUUUUCAAAAAUAUUUUUUCAGAAAUCAAACACCCCCCUAAAACCUAAAUCAAAAUAUGCCCACUUUAAUUCAGUAGCAAGCAAGCAAGUUAAGAGUCUUGAGACAAGCAGUUGUUUCAAAUUAAUUUCUAACAAGCAUAUAGCUAGGACAAAUAUACCAAAGAAAAAACUUACAGGUCAAGCCAUAAUCCUCGAUGAUCGCCGACGCCGCCGAUUCGGCUAUGAAAGGUCAAGCCAUAAUCCUCCAGCAGAUAAUUAAUAAGCUCAAACCACAGCUGCUACUGCACCACCGCUCAGGCAAUUCAUCAAACACUUGGAGUGCCAAAAAGAUAGAGAACGAGGGAAAAGGAAAAGAGCAUAUAGGUUGGGGAAGACUUACAUGAGAUUUCACAUGACCGGAGGUUCUGCCGACAUCUUUGAGAAUUAAUCCACGCCCCAGUCCUGAACUCACACAAUUAAUUAAUCAAAUCCAAUUAAGGUCGUGUUUCCACGCCCCCACGGCACCGCUAAACUGAUGGUGCAAUUAGUGGCCCCUAUUAGUGGAUUAAACGUAAGGGUGUGUUUGGUUCCACGUAAAACUGUGGAAAAAAAAUUUUCGGUGGAAAAAAAAAUUUCAGUGGAAAAAAGUUUUACGUCGUUUGUGUUUGGUUUGUAGGAAAAGAAAAGUAGUUUUUCAUGACAGUUGUUUGAUUGAAAGAAAAGAAAAAAUAGAUAAAAAACUAUUUAAUAUAUUUUUUAUUAUAUAUAUUAUUAGUAUAUUGUAAUUAUUAUAUAUAUAUUCUCUAAUUAUAUAUAUUAUAUAUUAUUAAUAUAUAAUAAUUAUCAUAAUAUAUUUAAUUAUUAUAAUUUAUAUAUUAUAUAUUAUAUAAUAAAUAUUAUAUUAUAUAAUAAAUAUGUAUAUAAUAUAUUAAUAAUAUAUAUUUAAUAUUAUAAAAUAAUUAUUAUAUAUUUAUAAAUAAAAUAUUAUAUAAUAUAUAUUAUAUAAAAAAUAAAAUUAUUAAAUAUAUAUAUAUAUAUAUAUAUAUAAUUAAAAAGAGAGAGAGAGCUAGGUUCACUGCUCUCUCUCUCUCUCUCGGUCCACGAGGUGAAGCACACCUCGUGGACCGCGCGCAAAAAGAUGGAGCCGCACCUGUGAGCCCCGACUUUGCUCUCUCUCUCUCUCGGUCCACGAGGUGAAGCACACCUCGUGGACCGCGCGUAAAAGGAUGGAACCGCGCCUGUGAGCCCCGACAAUUUCACUGUAGCUUUUCAUUUUCCGCUCGGACAGAGCGGAAAACGAAAACACGAUUUUUCCGCCUAUUCGUAAAAAAAAAUUUCGGAGAAAAAUUUUUUACAGAGAACCAAACAAUGGAAAACUAUUUUUCAACUGAAAAAAAAUUUUCGGACUCAUUUUACAUGAAUCCAAACACGCUCUAAGUGUAAAUUACACUUUCGUGCUCAAACCAUACACUUUAGUUCUCAAAUUUUAAUUCAGUGUAAUUUUUGGCUCGAUGUGUGAGAUGCGUGACAAGUCCUUGAACUUCAGUUCUUCGCAAUUUUUGGCUCGAACUAUGAGGCGCAUAACACUUUAAUCUCGAGCUUUAGUUGUACUUUCUCACAGUUGGAACAAAUUAACUGGUACUUUGCCGGUGUGUUAUAGACAAUUCUAAAUGUUUUCUUUCAUGAAAACAAACUCUAAAUUUCUGUACGAGAUGAUGAUGAAUUGUUCACGGUCUUUAGCCUAAACCUUAAACCAUAAACCCUAUACAUCAUCUUAAAUAGUCUAUACUGAAAGUAAGUAAUUAAUGUUGCUCAAUUUUUAAUACAUAAAACUUUUAGUCUUUAAAGAAAUAAUAAAUCAUUUACCGUUCUCCGAAUGUAAUAAAUUAUUCACUAUUUUUUUUUCUUUUCAUUCAUCCCGACUCAGAAUGAUUGAUUUAUUUGCUAUGUAAAUUUUAGGGGCUUUUGUUUAUAUAUCUUCUACUACUAUUCAAUUUUUUUAAAUUUAUACAUCCCCUUUAUUCUCAAAAUGUUCUUCUAAACCUCAAAUCUCAUUAGUAAAUACUAUAGUUAUGGAUAUAUUGAAGAAAUUUUAUAAAAUCAAUGAAGCCAUUUUGCGAGACCAAAAAUAUAUUAGAUAUCUUUUGGUCAAUUUCAUGUAUGCUUCUUGAUAAGGGGAGGAAAUGAAAUGGAAGUUUCAUAGAGAAGACUUUCAAGUCAAAGUGCUGGAAAUUUUUCCACACUCCUAAAUAAAUUCUAACCAAAAUUUUCCGCACUUCAAGACAAAUCUAAAACAAAUAUUCAAACUUUUAUCGAAAACGAAUUCAAAUGGGAUGGAUUAAUUUAAUACUAAAUGGAUAUCAUUUCGGAUACAGAUAUAAAAGCCGAAAACUAGUCUAAUUUAGAUUCAAUAUAAUAUAUUUGAAUAUAUGGCAAAAAGAAAUAAUUGUUUCGAGUUAGAGUUUUCAGGUUCGGGUUUCGAAUUUUUGGUAAGGUUUGGGUCUGGAUAUAAAUUUUAAAAAUUCGUCAGAUUCAAAUUUUAAUUUUAAAUUUUGAGUUUGGUAGUCAAGAUUGGAUUCAGAUUUUUUUUUAAAACCUGCCCCAAAUUUGAUCAGUUGACGUUACAUACACGCCUUCCAACUCAUCCGAAUCAAUGAAAGUCAAAAUCAUAGUUAGUUAAUUCGCGAUUAAGCGAAUUAUUCGCGAAUUUUUGAAUAUACGAAUUAAACGGUCUGUUUCCGUAUUUUUUCAAAAAGUUUGGAAAAAAAUGCGUCUACUUCCUCAAAAAUAAUUAUUCGCCAAUUAUUCACGAUUCGCGAAUGGUUCGUCCAAAAAAACGGCGCUUGCUGACGCGGAUUUGCAGCCGAGGGUCGCGUCGUCGCCGCUCUCAUCGCCGAGCUUGUCCGGGUCAUCGUCCUCCUCCUCCGCCUCCUUGGCCGGCGCCGGGAGCAAGAGCCACGGCGGCAGAUCCGGCCUCAUCGUCGUCCUCCUCCGUCGCCAUGGCCAGCGCCAGGACCAAGAGCCGCGGCGGCGGAUCCGCCCGAGGCCCCACGGAAAAGAGGAAGUGGAACAGUAUAAAAAUCACGGCUUUUUGGGGCAUAGAUCAUGCGCGGUCCACUGCAUGAGAGGGAGGUCCACUCAUUACAUAUAUAUAUAUAUAUAUAUAAUUUUAUUUUAUAAAUAUUUAUUUAUUUAUUAUAUAUAAUAUUUUAUUUUUAUAUAGAAAUAUUAUUAUAUAAUAUUUUAUUUAUAAAUUUGUAAUUAUUUUUUAAUAUUUCUAAAUGUAUAACUUUUUAUAUAUUAUUAAUAUAUGUUUNAACUCUUAUAUAUUAUUAAUAUAUGUUUAUUAUAAUUUUAAAUAUAUUUAAUCUACAUAUAAAAAUUAUAAUAAUAAUAUAUAUAGUAUAUUAAUUAUUAUAUAUAUUUAUUAUAUAGCCGAAUUUUUUAUUCCGAAUUUUUAAUUGGUGAAUAUAUAAUAUCCGUAUAAAUCACAUAUCCGAAUAAUUACCAAAUUCGCUUUUUAGCCGUAUUUUUCAACGAAUUUAAAAAUUAAAAGACGAAUUUUAUCCGAAUUAUACCCGUACCGAAUUUUUGCCGAAUCCGAAUUAACUAACUAUGGUCAUAAUAAAAAAAGUGGCCUCGAAAAAAACUUAAAAGUCACCGACUAUACCCUUUUCACUUGCGUGAUUGUUUAACUAGUAUAGGAACCCACGCAAAACAGCGGAUAAAAUUGUUUUAAUAAAAAUUUAUAAAUUAAAUGAGCAAAUAUAGAAUAUAAAAAAAAGAAGGCUAUAAUCAUAUUUGAUUGAAAUUAAUAAUUAAAAAAUACGUUAAAGCUUUCAUAAUGGAAUUAUAAUUCAAUGAAAAAUAACGAAAGACAAAAAGGACUAUAGAAUAAAAAAAUUUGUUACAUAAAAAUCAGUCCCCUUUGUACCCUUGUCUAAAGCAUUCUCUACCGAGGCCAACUAUUUCAUGAGGUAACAAAGCGCCUUCAACUCUUUCCUAGCAACUCCAUAUCUUAACCAAUACUUCUAGUCCUUAGGAGCAUUAGAGGAAAGGGAGGCACCUCCUUCACAUAACUAUACAUUACAAAUUUAAGUACAAGUAUUACACAUCUUUUAUAUAUAUAAUAUAAAACUAACAAAAAAAUUUGUACAUAAAAGAAAAAAAAAAAAAAGCAUACUGUUGUAGAGAGAAAGAAUAAACAUCAUCAAAUUCCUCAAUUUUAACCAUUAAUGUAGUAACCCUGCAAUAUAGCAGUUGAGGCUUGUCGACAGCUCUGGUGAGUGUCGGGACAAGCCCGGGUCGCAUUGGCGCGAAAUGGAUGCCAAACGGACUCUGUGGGAAUGCGAGCGCAGCUGGUAUUAUGAAAAUCCGCGAAAUAGCAGAUUUUCUGCCACUUGUACCGGUACAAAUUUUGGAAUGUACCGAUACAAGCUUGAUGGCUAUACCGGUACAACCAUCAGGAAUGUACCGGUACAAUUGCUACGCAGACUACUCUCGGGUUGCCCAUUUGUACCGGUACAAACGUGCGUGUACCGGCACACUUUGGUAGGUGAGAAGGCAAUUCAGUUUUUUUCACCUCGUUUGUAUCACCAUCCCUUUUCCCUCUCUAUAUAGGAUUGAGAGAACAGAGAGGAGAGGAUUUUUACUCUCUCUCUCUCUUCUCCUUGUGCUGGACGUGGGUAGCGGAGGAACUUGGGUGGAGUUCGGGUGUCGUCGACGUCGCGCCGCGGUACCGUUCGAGCGUGUAUUCGUCGUCGUGGUGCUGCGAGGAGGCUGGGUGAGCGUGGAUUUUCGCCGUCCUCGACGUUGCGCCGGUUCUAGAGGGGUUUUCGAGGUGAGUGAUCUAUCGAAAUCACUUCAAUUACUUCAAGCUCCAUCAAUUUUGAGCUAGGGUGCUGUUCCUACAGAAUUCCAGUGUCGACCGUCGGCGUUUCGGCUCGUGUGCAACGUAGGAGCAUCGGAUUGCUGCGAAACUUGGUUUGUUGGAUUCUAUACUUCGAGAGAAAUCCACGAAGCCUAAGAUUGCUGAAUUUGGUGAAGGUUAGCUUGGUUGAACUCCCACUCUUCUCUGCUACUGUUGCUUGGACAGAAUUUCAAGCUUUGAGUCUUCUUUGAUGCUAACUUUGGAGGAAUUGGAAUGUUUACACCAGGGAUGCAUACUCCAACCUAGAUUACUGGAUUUGAAACCUUGCUUUACUAGGAUUGAGGUUUGGAAGGUGAAGUUUCGCAUUGUAAUUGAGGAUUUUUAGCUUAAGUGUUGAUUUUGGGAGGUUAUAAUGCAAGUUUAGUGUUAUUGUGGUUCAGAUCAUUGGAGAGGUGCGGUUGCUAGUUGAGAGCGGAAUCGAUUGAGUUUCCUGGUGGUUCGUGACUUCCUCGCUGUCGGGGAUUAGCUUGAGAGGUGGGUUAUUCAUCGGUGUUACUCCUAAGUGCAUAUUUAGUCGACGUGUAUGAUUUCAGUUGUUGGAUAUCAUAUUUUAGCUCUAAUUCAUUGAUUGUAGCUUGUAUAAAAUCUGAAUUAGGAGCAUGAUUAUUAAUUAGAUGAAUAUACAUGUUGGACUUUGAACUUGACUUAGGAGAAAACCGCGACUAUAACCGUCACAUGCUUAAACUAUCAGAUUUAGCUCUAGGAGCCGUGAUGUGAUUGUGUCAUCACAGUAUCGGCGCGAUGGAUACCCGGGGUAGUUUAGAUUGCAUUUACGCUUGUGCUGGGAUGCCGAGCUUAUUUUUACAGCAGAGUCUAGGCUGUUUCGAGUGGUCGGGUGCCGUCGGGGUUGACGGUGGACCCAGAGUUUGGUUUUGGUUUCAGAUUAUGCCGAGGGCACGUGGAUUUGGUUGUCAGACCUGUUUAGACCCUACCUACUUGACUUUGGCUUGUUAGAGCCUGAUUGAGCUCGACAGAGAUACGGUGCAUACUUGGUUGGGUAGCUCCCACGAGUGCCACUCCGGAGACGGGCGCUAUGCUAUUGCGUUGGUGUCGUUCGUACAGGUUGGACUUGCUCUCCACUGAUUGUUAGUGUGGAGGUAGCUGUACAGUCACAACCGGGUAGGACGGGUGUGUUUACAGUCCCAGGGACGGGUAUGAUUACAGUCCUCUUUGAGAUUGAGUCUGAUAUGACAUUAGUCUAUAGAUAUUUGGAUCUAGAGUAUGAUAGUGUAGUGGCAUUUAGCUGUAGAUAUAUUCCAGCUUUUCCUACAAUUCCAGCUCCUUUCUGUAGACUUAGUGGGUGGACCGAUGAUGUUGAGGGCGGCACCCACUGAGGACUACUUGUUUUUAUAGUAGUUCUCACGCCCUUUUGUUACUGUUGUUAUUGUAGAGCCUUCUGUGCCGGCUGCUACUCCUUCCCAGGCUGAUUGAAGCAAGGGCGUCGCGAGUUAGAGCCCUACCCGAUGAAUUGCCGUGAUAGAGGAUCACCGCCGCAGGUAGUAGUACUUUUGUGUUGGAGUUCUUGUACAUAUAGUCGUUGUAACUCGAUAGAGCGAGUAUUUUUGUAUCUGGAUGUUUUGUAUGUAUAUGGAACUUAUUUCUAUUCUAUCUGUUCAGUUUCAUUACAGCUCUAUAUUACUGGUUGUAGUAUUGUAUGUUUUACAGACACAGCUACGCUUCGUAUACAGAAAAAAUUCCUUUGUAUACGGCGGAUUUGUCAGCGUGCCCGGGGAACGAGGAAUCCGGGGCGUGACAAUUAAACAUGUAAAGAAAAUUUUGGUAAAGAAGAAAAAUGGAAUCGAACUUGUGCCGCCCAUUAAAAUUAAUUAAUUAAAAAAAAUGUAAAUUAAUGGGAAUGGGUGAAGGUGGAGAGGAGGUGGGUAAUGAUUUUUAUAUACGAAGUAAAUUAUUUCAACAUCUUUUCGAUCUAACCUUUCAUGGAUGGUAGCUCAAGGGCCACUAAAAAAAGAAAAAGUAAAUACGAGUGAAUGCGACGGAAAGCGAAGAGCCAUUUGAAAAAAUAGAUUAGCUAUAGUUUUUUAGAUGAGAGAAGAAAUGGCUUAAAGCCCCACCUGCCUCAAAUUAAAGAGUUACAUGCACAUAGGAUUUAGGCAUGAGAAUUUAUACAUAGGUAUAUAUUAGUGCUUUUUUUUUUUCAUAACUUUUAAGUAAUCUUGGUUAAUAAAAAUGUUAUAAUGGAAUAAUGGAUAGACACGCCCUGAAUGUUAACCUAUUUUGAAAUAAACCCCUAAUUUUUUUUUUUUUUUAUUUGAGUUAAACCUAUCAACUUACAAACUGUUUGAUUUAGGUUCUUCCAUUGGUAAUCUUGGGAAUUUUGUUAGAGUGAAACACCAAGAGGGAUGCACAUGCAAACAGAACCAAAGCAAUUCUUGAUAAAAAUGAAGGGGUAUUAAGGUUGUAGCAGUCAUACGAUUCAUAACAAAUUUGAAAAUUAAGCAAAAAUAGAGCAACGGCUCGUUUCUUCUUUUUGACUAGAGCAAUUUUUGAUCACGUGCAUUCCUCGUGGGCUUUUGAUUCUAACAGUUUAAAAUUGCCUAAUGCAAGGACCUAAAUUAAACGAUUUGUAAGUUGAAGGGUAUAAAUCAAAUUAAAAAAAAGAAAUGCUAACUCUGCAACAUUUUUAAGGUUUGAAUCUUUACAAUUUCCAAUCCAAAAACCAAGGGUUUUACUUCACCUUUUUUGGUUAUUUUUUUAAAAAAAGGGAAAAGACAAGUUGGAAAAAAGUAGACAUAAAAUGGUGGAAAUUGUAAGGUUACAAGCCAUAAAGGAUUGUAGAGCUAGCAUUGCUCAAGAAAAAAUAUAAAAAUAAAAAUAAAUAAAAAAUAAUAAUCAUCAUGCGUUUACACAUCUUAAGCAAAAAAAUUUGGGAACUAACCUCUACAAACAUUAUUUGGGAAUCUAACCCUCAUACCAUGCCGGAGUAACGCCGGUGCUAGCAGGUAGAGUUUAAGAUUUAUUAGUCACCUUAAUAAGAUGGUGAAUUAUUUAGUGUCUUUUGAGUAGAUGACAAAUUUAUCUUCUUACAUCCGCCUAUGAGCUUUAUUGUGUUUUUUCAUGAAUUAAAUUGGAAGAGAUAAUUUUCUCUACAUUUUGAAGCUUUACAAAAUCACGUAUAAAACAUAUGUCGAGAAUAACCAUUUAAUUUGUAACUGCCUUGAGCAGAAGAACCUCUUAACCUAUUUGGUAAAUUUCAACUAACCAGAAUAACUCCACAAAAAAAAAAUGAAGGGGAAGUCAAAAAAAAAACAAAAGAAAAGAAAAAUGUGAAGUUUGAUAGGAUUAUUUCAAAAUGUGAGGAGUUCUCAAUACAUUCUUAAAGAGAGAGAGAGAGAAAGUGAGAGAGAAGCCUAUGUAAACACUGUUGAAAAAUACGAAACUGUACAGAAAGAAGUGUAGACCAAAAAGAGAAACUGAACGGAACUGUUCGCGAAAUCUGAAUCGGAACAAACUUACACAGAUUUAAAACUGAAUUUCUUUUUCAGUUUUGAUUUUGUUUUUCCGUCUUCAAUGCAUAAAGAAAUUUAAUUUCUUUUUGAAAAUUGUAAAGAAUAAAAGUAGGUAGGUAGCUGCAGGAUGUGGUUGCAAGUUGACGCUUGCUGAAGUGCAGCAGCCCUUUUUUUUCCUUUUACAAUAAGUUGGCCGCACCGACCAAAUUUUCUCCAAAGGUCGAUGUACAGCCCUCAAUAAAAACUUAAGAAGUUCAACAAAAUUUGAAGUAUAAUUUAUGCCACUGAAAUUAAAUUCACAACUUUAGAGCUGGGUUACUUUGUCUACUUCAAAGAAGCUCAACAACUUCAUCAGAUCAUAGUGAAAAAAAAAAAAACAAAAAAUGAAUAAAACAAGCUCAUCAAGCUAUGAGAUUAAUUUGCUAUUUUGCCAUCAUAGAACGCACAAAUUAUCAUUCUUUUACCUUUCGCACCCUUUGCUAAUUAAACAUACAUCUCCAAUUUCAGUCUCCAAAAUAUCUAAUGUAAUUAUCCUCACUCACGCUCGAAUAUUUGUGACACUUCAAAAUGUUCUUUCGCUUGCUAAUUGGUCCCCUAGCUAGGGAAGUAUAAUUAGGCAGUGAAAUAAAAUAACCAGUAAAAUUAAGCUACAUAUAUUAAAGACACUAAUCACAUUAUACAUAUAUAAAUAGACUACUCGUAGUAGUCUUAUUCCAAUCCUGCACCAAGAAAAAAUAGGAGAAUGUACACAAAGCAGUAAAACUUUAACCAUCCUUCGUAACAAGGACGAAAUCCAUAGGCUAUAAUAAUAGGAGGGUUUUUAAUUCAUACACCACCGAGAACAGAAAGAAAAUACAAAUACAUAGGCAGUUUCUUUUGGUCUUGUUACAUUCCUUUUUUUGAGAAAUAGGUAGCGGGCUACCUGCUUCAUUCAUUAAGCAAAAUGAACUAAGCGUACAUGUUGGAGGCAACUAAGACCUCCUGAAGGGACCAGACAAAAAAAUUGAAAAAAAGAUAAAAAAGAAAUCACAGAUCACAAAGCAAAACAAAGACACACAAAGAAACGACCAACGAAGGGAACAAAAAUAGAAGACGUGGUCAAAAUCAAAGGGCGUCGGUCCAAGCUUUGAUCAAGGAGGUGACUCGUUCGAACGCCCGAGCAGCAUUGGGACGCGCAUCGCAAAAGAUAAUGUUAUUACGUUCCGUCCAUGUCACCCACCAGAUUGCUGCUAGAUGGGUCAGACUUUUUGUCCUCAACACUGCAUUGUGAAUAUUAGUUGUUUCCGUCCAAAGUCGGCCUACAUCCCCCGAUUCCAAUUCGCUUGUAUGAGAAAUUCCGGCGGUGAUUAGAAGAUAUCUGACAAAGACACAGUCCCGAAAGAGGUGAUCGCAGGUCUCUGGGAAUAGUGCACAAAACACGCAAAACUGAUCCACAACAUGCCCCCGACGGAUCAACCUGUCCUUGGUAAGUACUCUCUUGCGAAGUAGAAUCCAAAUGAAUACUCUGUUUUUAGUUGGAAUUCUUAUCCUCCAUAGGUGAACAUACAAGGAAUCUGUCUGGCCAUCAUCGGUGAUGAAAUCAUAGAUCGAUUUAACAGUAAAAAUUUGGUCGGCAGUCCAUCUCCACUUGUCCUAUAUAUAGAGAAAUUGAUAAGAGUUUUUAAAUGGUUCUUGUACCACCAAACAUAGAACAUAAGCAGUAACACUUCAGUCUUUUCGUGCAAUCAAUGCGAAAUGAAUCUAAAGUUUGUUUAAAAGUGUAAAGAAAGUAAAUGUAAGAUACUGCAGGAUGUGGUUGCAUGUUGAUGCCUGCUACAGCAUAGCUUUCAUUUCCUCUUAUGACGUCUUAUCGCGAGAGCAUACACCAAAUUUACUCAAAAUAUCGAUACAACCUGCACAAAAAAUUGAAAAAAGUUUAACAAAAUUUGAAAUUAUGAUAUAUACUGCUGAAAUUGAGUUCACAAGUUUAAUCCGGUGCCUAUUAUACUGCCCAAAAAAAAAACAAUAAUAAUUUGAAACACUUUUUUUUUUUUUGAUUAAACAGGGGUAUACCCUAUUUUAGAAUACAAAAGAUGCAGAGGCAUCAAUUUGAAACACAUUUUAAGGCAAUGUUUAAGAACUUCAUUAGAUAAUUCACAAGACAAAACAAGCUUAUGACCAGGCUAUGAGAUUUGCUAUUUGUACAGGAAUAUUCAAACACAAAAUUAUCUUUAGUAUAUACGAAUAUAAAGUAAGGAGAAACAAAAUUGAAGCAUUUAACCUCUCUGCUGCAAAAGAGGGCAAUUUCUUUCUUAAAGAUUUUACAUUAGUUUGGCUACUACGCACACACGCACACGGAAAAGCAUGGAAUCUUACUCUAAUCCUGCACCAACAAAACUGAAGAACACAAGCAUAAAGUAACAAAUUAGUCUUUAAUUUUCAAAUAAAUUGAUAGAACAUGACCAUGAAUUGGGAGUCAGUCCAGUACUAAUUAAAUAGAAGAACAUAAGUGGCAAGGCUUUAGCCAUGUUGUGCUCCUACAAUGAAGUCGAUAGACUACAAUACAAGCCUUUUUCACCCAUGCACCAGAAAACAAAAAAGAAGAGAGAAUAAGUAGAAUGAUUUUAAUCAUGUUUUAUCCCUGAUAAGCAAAAAUAGAUUCAGCGGCAAUACGGAGUCCUAAUCAAUACAUGUUCCUGCACUACCGAAAUUGAACAUAAACAGCUAAACUUUAUGUAGUUACGUAGUAUGAUUUUAAGAAUAAGCACUGAAAAACAAAAAACAGAGAGAACAAGUAAUUACGUAGUAUCAUUUUAAUCUUGUUUGUGUGCCUGAUAAGGAAAAAAAAUAGAUUUGAGCGCCAAUAGAGAGUCCUACUCCUUACAUGUUCCUCUACUACCAAAAUAGAACAUAAGCAGCUAAACUUUACUCUUGUUUUAUAUUCUUGAACAAAUUGAGUGAAAUAUAUAUAUAUAUAGGAGCGUUAUAACGUUACUGCAGUCCUGCACCAAGAAAUUAAAAUAACUCGAAAGCUUUUGUCACGCACGCGUACGUCUCUUAUGUUCUAACUCAUCUUCACUGGACAAUUAGUCAUAUUUUUUGACUUUAGAAAGCAAUUGAUAUACUAACAACAUAUGUUAUAUUCAUUGCAUUGCUUGUUUUACAAGACCAAUCCGUCCUGUGAGCACAACAUCAUGUAUUAAUUAUAGGGCGCAAUUAAUUAGCGCUAUAUUAAUUCCCUUAUUAUGUAUCCAAACCAUAAAGUAUAAGGGUAAAAAAAUAUAAUAAAAGAUUCCUAAUGGAGGAUGCUAAUUAAAGACGAACCUGACUGCUCUCGCAUUAUCCGAGAAAAGAAGGUAAUUAAUCAAUCCUGAAACAAAUUAGAUAACCUUGUUGAUUAAGAUCGAACGAGAUGUAGCUCAUUAAAAUCGAAAGGAAUUGCGUUAAUCGCAGAGAGUAUAUAGCAGGGGCGAGAUGAAGGAUGGUAAAGUAAACGUACAAUUUCGUCAUCGUCACUCUACAACUGUUUAAUCAUCCUUCUAGGGAUGUGGGCAAUCUUGAGCCAAUCAAGGCCACCAUUCUCUUGGCAUCGCUCCUUCAACACAGGGUGACACCCGGUGAUGACUAGAGCACGCAGUGAAGUAGCCAGAUCUGGAAGAGACCGGAUGAGAUUAGCAUUCAGUACUUCUAAACACUUGAGGGAGCACAGUUUUGUCAUGCUC
rnacentral:lncRNA from 1 species